UUCAUAGUUGACAGGAUCUGGCUUCAGGUAUGUCUUGUUAAAGUGGUCUUACAUUUGUUGAAUUUCCAUACACACGGUAUCUGUUAAAUGGGUAUUUGUUCAUUUAGCAGCCUUUACAAUACUGUGAUACAAACCAGAGUCUUCUGUAUGUCUACUUUUGUAUGGUGUGCACUAAGAAAUAUUGUACAUGGAUUGAUUCUAAGUGUAUGGUCUUCUUUCUGAAUAUUCCGUGUUAGCUGCAAUUGACCAUUGGUACUACAUAAGACAUUGAAAAUCACCUGAUCUUGUUCGAUUGGGUUGGCCAGGGGGGUUCAUUAUUAGCUCAACCGUGCCCGUGCAGGCAUAACCAAUUACAAUUGUUGGGUGGAUAUGAUAUUCAGUUGAAUGAGAACGAACUUCAUGGUCAAAUUAGUUUGUUAUCAGAAGUGGUGGCUUCUUAGUGAUCAAUUUUAUUGACAAACAUUAGAUUUAGAAAUGUGCUUUAAGAAUGGCUGGUUCAUUUAGAAAACUACUCCCUCUGUAAAGUAGCUGACAUGUGAUAAGUGUGAAAAGGCGGUAUAUUUGCCUAUAACAUGUUCUAGCAUCAUCUUAUGAAUAAGCAUACAUUGUUAGCAGUAAUGAAAUGGAAACGUUUCAUUGUGAGCUAUUGCUAUUAUGUGCCUAUAAGCCUGCAGGAUGACUUCAAUUCUCUGACCUGGCUAGGCAAAAUGACUGGGUUUCGCUAGAUCGCCCAUAAGGAAAAAGAGGCAGUAGGAAUUUAUGCGCUCCAUUAGUAGAACUAUUAUCCAACUAGUAGAACUGUUAAGCAUUUACUAUUACAUGACCAGAAGGGUUUGUUGAACCUGCAAAUCUGGAAAAUCGGUAUUGGAGAACCAAUUAGUAGAAGAAAUUAGGGUGAAUGAUCGUGUGCGUCUCUCAGACCCACACCUCUUAUUUACAGUGCUAAGAUUACAUACUUGAUUAGACUUGGACUCAAACUAGAUUAGGAAUUCAGACACCCCCUUUCAAGAUGGGCCGAAGAUAUCGAUUUGUCCCAUCUUGUUAUACUAUAGUAGCACCCUUGGGUUGUGUACUGGAACCAGAUGUAUUUAAAGAGUACCGUUAUUGGCAAAGGACUUACAGUUCGAAAAGAGAAGAUCGAGUGUACAAGGAAAUUGGGCAAGUGGUGUGGUGACAAGGUAAUCAACCUCAGGGUACUAACAUCUUCGUGGAAAAUAUCUUGUGAUAUGGAGUUGUACCGACCAAUUGUAGCUCGGUCUACUACACAUGCGGAACAUAGAGCAAUUGAAUUGAGGCUGUCUGAAAAAUGGUCGCUCUACUGUCAGCUUUCAGUGCUGGGGAAUGACUCCUUGGCAAUGCAUUGUGAUUGCAAGCCUAUAGGUUUUUCAUCUAGGAGAGACUGACCAGUAGGGUGCUAAAUUGGAAUAUGUCUCCCCUAAAAUUGUUUUUUGGAAUAUGUCUCGAGUAGGUGAGCAGUUGCCUGACUAUUAAACCAAAAGGGUAGGUUCCUUAGAGAACACUUGAGUUGUGACACUAUAUGUCUAAGAUCGGCCGGUGAUGUCGGCCUACUGCAUCCUCUAGAAUUUUUUCUGCAGUCACGCUGCUCCGGAAAAUUAAACCGACCACUGUUUGGGUUAUGCAACUGAACUUGCUUGCUAAUCAAAAGCCAGGGUGGACUUGGUGCUGGAAGGGAAAUCAUUAUAGGUUCAAAUAAGGUUAGCGUGUCUGUAUUCCUUGGAUUGUUCCGAGUUCAGGGCUAUGGGCGCACUUUCUUACCUUUGCAUCGUACGUUGGUUUGGUACAGCAAGAAGACGUUUUUAGGGAAAUUGGAACUUUCAAAUUACUUUUGGUUGGGGUGCGCCUGCCUGGGCUAUAGUGCAACGCCCAGGCGACACCCAAGGGCCCCAAUGGCAAGCCACUGUGGUGGACCCUCCCUCACAAAAAAUAAAUUUAAUAUCAUUGUGGGCAUAUGGCCCACAUAUCAGAUAUUAAACUGAUAAGAACAGAUACUACACUUGAUCUUAGCCAAAAGGCCGAGAAAGGUAUGAGUUGUAGUGUCCCUCUCCCCCUCCUCUUAUAGCUUUGUCCACCGUCUCUCCGCUCUCGACCAGCGAGGUGGUACUAAACCAAAGAACGAACGGAGAAAGCCCAUGCUGCACUCGGGCAAACGGCCCUAUGCGCCCCUCGUUCGUUUGGGCUUCAUCUGGCCCGGUAAGAACACCACGGCAGCAAUGCUUCUACGGCCCAGUAUUAAACAUCCCGUGGCAGAUUGCCGUUGGGCCAGCCCAUUUAGUGAAUAAAGAACGUGCACUGGACGCCAGUUUUGGCGACCUUUUUCCUGUCCGGUUUUGGCAACCUUCCAGAAGGUUCCUGAACCCUUUUUUACUGGUUUUAUUUUAGUUUUUAAAUUAAUUUCUUCCUUUUUUUACCUUUACUCUUUUUCCUCUUUCUUUUUUCUUUUAUUUUCAUUUUCUCUUUACUUUGACGAAUUUAUGUUUCUUUUUUCUAAAAAAUGUGUUUGGAAUUUCUAAAUUUCUUACAAUUUUCAAAAUUUGUUCAGAAAUUCAAAAAAUGUUUGUCGUAUUCGAAAAAUGUUUCCUUUUAAAAAACUGCUCACAAUUUUAAAAAAAUCGCAAUUUCAUAAUUUGUUACAAAAUUUAAAAAUUGAUCCCGAUUUUCAAAAAUUGUUCAUAAAUUCAAAAAGAGUUUGAGAAUUCAAAAAAAAUGAUCUACUUUCCAAAAUUUGCUCAACAAUUCAAAAAAUGUUCAGCAAUUAAAGAAAUGUUCGGGAUGUAACAAUUUGUUCAGAAUUUCCAAAAAAAAUUGUUUUUUAAAAUUUGUUUACAAAUUUAAAAAAUGUUCGGGAAUUUGAAAAAAUGUUCACGGUUUCAAAAAUUGUGUCGUGUUCCAACAUUGCAUGCACGCACUCGACUAAUUCACGGGGCACCUCAAGAACAAGCAGAACCCAUAGCCGCCAUGCUCCCGUGGUACGUGGCGGCACCCUGGCGGCACCGAAGGGAUCUGUGUGCUCCUCGAAGGCAGGCCCAUGGCUAUCACCGGGCCUAGAUAUGGCGGCGAGGGCAUGGCAACGAGAAGACAAGAAAAAUCACCAUCAUCAUGUUUGAAGUAGGGGUUUCAUUAAACUUAUGAAGACCAUAGGUGCCAUAACUCAGUGAUGACAUAAUCCUUGCAAACAUUAUAUUUAGAAAAUCUACAACUAAAAAAAGAUUCAUAAAAUCUACUUUGAGAAUGGCUUCUUAUUUAGAGAACUACUUGACGUGUGAUAAAUGUGAAGAGGCAGUAUAUUUGUUCAGGUCAUCUUUUAGCAAAUCUCUAUCCUAAAAGUCCAAAACCUUCUUCCUAUCUCAUUUCCCUAAAGUAGAUCCCCUAUUCCAAUUUUUUUUGCCAUUUUUCAAAACAUUUGCUAGAACAAUUGAAACAAAUGCACCAUAUUUAAAAACAAACAUAGACAAUUCAAAUGGACCACAUCGUAAUUCAACUACAAGCAUAAAAAAAGUUCAUCCAAUCCAUCAAAGAGAACCACAUGAACAUGUCUCCCUCGCACGGAUCAAACCGUCUUGUCUUUCCCGCAUGGUUCUUGGCGGAUACCCUCCCGGAUCCGUCCUGGUGGGUUGCUCCGGAUCUGCAGCCUGUAGCGCGCCGGCUUACGAGACACGCAAGGAUGCAUGUUGCGCGUCUUCGCGGGGCUGUCCAGCCGUGGUGAAUUCUUCGAGGCGUGUGUGGUGGUUGUAAUACCCUCGAUGCGACUAUAUCUCCCACGUGUCGAGGCACGACUUAGAGGCAUAAUCGCAUUGAAAGCAUAUGUCGCAAGUUAGACAAUCUUCACAACAUCCCAUGUAAUAUAAGAAUAAAAUGGGAGAUAAUAUAGUUGGCUUAUACUCGUCACGUCAAUCAAGUACAUAAAUAACAUUACAUCAACCAAACACUCAUGGCCCGACUACGGCGCCAAAAUAAAAGAUAACCCAACAUGCGACACGGUCCCAAUCACCCCCAACUGGGCACCACUACUGAUCAUCAGGAAAAGAAACAUAGUAACGUUGAGAGUCUUCGUCGAACUCCCACUUGAGCUCAAGCGCGUCACCUGGAGCGGUAUCAUCGGGCCCUGCAUCUGGUGUAAUAGUAAUCUAUGAGCCACAGGGACUCAGCAAUCUCGCACCCUCGCGAUCAAGACUAUUUAAGCUUAUAGGUAAGGCAAGGUAAAUAUAAGUGGAGCUGCAGCAAGCGACUAGCAAAAUAUGGUGGCUAACUUAUUCGCAAAAGAGAGCGAGAAGAGGAGGCAAAGCGCGAGCGAGAAACUAGAGAACAACCUGCGCAAACAUUACUCCAACACCGUGUCCACUUUCCGGACUCCGCCGAGAAGAGGCCAUCACGGUAACACACUCAGUUGAUUCAUUUUAAUUAAGUUAAGGUUCAAGUUAUCUACAACCGAACAUUAAUAAAUUCCCAUCUGCCCGUAAUCGCGGGCACGGCUUUCGAAAGUUCAAAUCCCUGCAGGGGAGUCCUAACUUAGCCCAUGACAAGCUCUCACGGUCAACGAAGGAAUAGACCUCCUCCAAGACGUUCCGAUCAGACUCGGUAUCUCGGUACUUCAAGACAACUCCGACAAUGGUAAAACAAGUCCAGCAACACCCCCCGCUGUGCCAACAAAUCCCGAUAGGAGCUGCACAUAUCUCGUUCUCAUGGCACACCGGAUAAGCUAAGCGUACGGGAGCCAACGUAACCCAAGUUGCCAAGGGACGGCCCCGCACGGUGCUCUAGGUUGGACCAACACUCAGAGGAGCACUGGCCCAGGGGGGUUAAAAUAAGAUGACCCUUGAGUCCGCGAAACCCAAGGGAAAAGGCUAGGUGGCAAAUGGUAAAACCAAGGUUGGGCAUUGCUGGAGGAGUUUUAUUCAAAAUGGACUGUCAAGGGGUUCCCAUUAUAACCCAACCGCGUAAGGAACGCAAAAUCCGGGAACAUAACACCGAUAUGAUGGAAACUAGGGCGGCAAGAGUGGAACAAAACACUAGGCGAGAGGCCGAGCCUUCCACCCUUUACCAAGUAUAUAGAUGCAUUAAGAUAACAUGGCAAUAUAAUGAUAUCCCAACAAGUAAAUAAAAGUUCCAACAAGGAACGGCCUCCAAUCUUCACCUGCAACUAGCAACGCUAUAAGAGGGGCUGAGCAAAGCGGUAACAUGGCCAAUCAACGGUUUGCUAGGACAUGGUGGGUUAGAGAUUUGACAUGGCAAUUGGGAGGCUUGAAAGCAAGUGGUAGGCAUCGAAGCAUUGGCAUAGCAAAAGAGCGAGCAAUCUAGCAUAGCAAAGAUAGUAGUGAUUUCGAGGGUAUGAUCAUCUUGCCUGCAAAGUUGCCAGAGUUGACUGGAUCCUCGAAAGCAAACUCAACGGGCUCCUCGUUAGCGAACUCGUCUCCCGGCUCUACCCAAACAAUAUAAAUAAGCAACAAGGACACAAUCAACCACGUGCAAGAUCUCAAACAAUAUGAUGCAAUGAUGAUAUGCUAUGCGGGAUGCGAUGCGGGAUGCAUAUGCAAGAUGUGACAGGAAAUGCAAGAACCUGGCCUCAACUUGGAAAUCCAAGUGUGCCACUGGAAAGAUGAGAUGAAAUCGCUUGAAAACGAUAUAAAGAUCAUCGGAAUCGGAGUUACGGCUUGGAAAUGGCAAGCGAUUCAAAUAUGACACCGGUCUGCGAUUUACAGCAAGUAGCCAUCUAAAUGCAAAGAGAUGAACAUGCUACAGCACCCAAACAUGACAACAAAAAACAUGGCAGGGAUGCAUUCAAGAUGCUUAACAAAAGUCUAGCACUAAACUACGGCCAAUUCAUCCAUUAACAGGUUCAAACAAGUAUGGCAAAAAUGCAUAUGGCAAACAGAUUUCAGACCUAGUGAAAUUAACACUUGUCUGGAAUUUCAGAUCAGGUAGCACUCUUCGGAGCAGCAAAACUACAUGCUACAGGACCUGAACAUGGCAAGGUAAAGCAUGGCAUGGAGCUACUCAAAGAGCUUAACAAAAGUCCCUUAGGGACCUUGAGCCAAAAGUGAUCAGAAAAUACAAUUACAAGCAUGUGAACAUAGCAAAAAACAUAAUCAGUUUUCAGACCUAGAGAAAACUGGAACAUGCUGAAAACAGAUAUCAAGUAGGCAUGUUUACGAGCUCGAUGCACUCACUACGGUGCAAGUCAUGACAAACUAAGCAUACACCCACCAAGAAGGCACAAAAUUUAAGCUAGACAUGGCAAGAACAAUAGCAUAAAAUGCACGUCUCAACUAUAACAUCAUCAGCAAAAUUGCAAACAAGUUGACAAUCUGCCCAGAUUCACAAAGUAGCAAAAGUAGAGCUCGAUUGACUCAAGCUAGGGUGCUCCAUAAUUUCAAACAAAGACAUGGAUGGAUAGAGCAUUACAAGAUUAACAAAACAUCCUUACUGGUCAUCCUCAAAAGAGGCACGGAUCACUAAACAACAUGAACAUAUGGCCAUAUGAGAUAAACAGCUCAAGGACUUAGUGGAAUUGCUAAGUCCCUGAAAACAAAAUUAACAAAUGCACCACUUCGCAAGCUUGUGCUAGUCACCACACACAUCACAAAAAUACAUGGGUUGCACCUCUGGAAAGAUGGCAAAACCCUUAACAAAACAUAUAUAGAACUCAUGGGCAUAGCAUGCACACAAUAAUCAUGGCAAAAAUGACAAAAAUUUAAACGGAGCAGCAGAUCUGACAAUUAUCUCAAGUAGCCCUCUUCUAACAGCAUUUCGGGCAUCACGAUGAACUCAAAUGAAAAUGAUGCAAUGGAAUGAAAUGAUGUACUCUCUGAGAUGAACAUUUUGAUAUACUAUAUGCAUGAAUCGGAGCUACGGGUGCAAAGUUACGAGGCUAUAAACAUGGGCACAUGGAUCUGAAAAUUCCGAGGACUUAGUAGAAAAAUCAACCUCCGGGAAAAGUGGAUCUCGCGGAUCGGGACGGAGCGGUGCGGGGACGGGCGAGGGCGUUUGGAUCGGGAACCGGUGGAUCUGGUCCCGAUCCGGAUCCGGCCGAAAUCUCGCCGGAGUUCGCCGGGGAGGUGACCGGAGAUGGUGGUGGAGACGGCCGGCGAGCGAGGCAAGCGGGGCGGCGGCCGGAGCCACGCAGGGCGGCGGCGCGGCGAGCACCGGGCGGCGAGGUGGGCCGCGGCGGCCGNNNNNNNNNNNNNNNNNNNNNNNNNNNNNNNNNNNNNNNNNNNNNNNNNNNNNNNNNNNNNNNNNNNNNNNNNNNNNNNNNNNNNNNNNNNNNNNNNNNNNNNNNNNNNNNNNNNNNNNNNNNNNNNNNNNNNNNNNNNNNNNNNNNNNNNNNNNNNNNNNNNNNNNNNNNNNNNNNNNNNNNNNNNNNNNNNNNNNNNNNNNNNNNNNNNNNNNNNNNNNNNNNNNNNNNNNNNNNNNNNNNNNNNNNNNNNNNNNNNNNNNNNNNNNNNNNNNNNNNNNNNNNNNNNNNNNNNNNNNNNNNNNNNNNNNNNNNNNNNNNNNNNNNNNNNNNNNNNNNNNNNNNNNNNNNNNNNNNNNNNNNNNNNNNNNNNNNNNNNNNNNNNNNNNNNNNNNNNNNNNNNNNNNNNNNNNNNNNNNNNNNNNNNNNNNNNNNNNNNNCGGCGCUGGGCCUGGCGGGCCCGCGCGGGUGGCGGCGCGGCGAAGUGGGGCGCUGCCACGUGGCGGCUCCCGGUUGGGGCGGACAAUGUCCGGCCGCGCGGAGAUGAUUUUUUUAGGGUUUCGGGGAGGGGAUCCGAGAUUUUCGAGGAGGACCUAUUUAUAGGCAUAGAGGGAGCUAGGAGAGUCCAAAUAAGGUGCGGUUUUCGGCCACACGAUCAUGAUCGAACGCUCUAGAUGAUGGAGAAGGCUUAGGUGGGUUUUGGGCCAAAAUGGAGGGGUGUUGGGCUGCAACACACGAGGCCUUUUCGGUUCCUCGGUUAACCGUUGGAGUAUCAAACGAAGUCCAAAUGAUACGAAACUUGACAGGCGGUCUACCGGUAGUAAACCAAGGCCGCUUGGCAAGUCUCGGUCCAAUCUGGAAAUGUUUAAUCCCCACACACGAAAGAAAGGUAGAAAUGACCACCGGAGGAGAACGAAGCGCCGGAAUGCAAAACGGACAACGGGGAAAAUGCUCGAAUGCUUGAGAUGAACACGUAUGCAAAUGCAAUGCACAUGAUGACAUGAUAUGAGAUGCAUGACAACGAUAACAACACACGGAGAAAAAACCCGAACCCGAGAAAAUAAAAUAACUUAACGCCGAAAUGGCAAGAGUUGGAGUACAAAUUGGAAAAGUUACAUCCGGGGUGUUACAACACUCCACCACUACGAAAGGAUCUCGUCCUGAGAUCUAGGACUGAAAGAACAUCGGGUACUUAGAACAGAGGUGAUCCUCGCGUUCCCAGGUAGCUUCACGGUCGGAAUGGUGUGACCACUUGACUUUGAGAAAUUUGAUUGACUUAUUGCGAGUCUUGCGUUCAGUCUCUUCAAGAAUAGCAACUGGGUGCUCACGAUAAGAGAGAUCUUCUUGAAGCUCAAUGUCCUCGAAGUUGACGGUGUGUUCAGGAGUCUUGAAGCACUUUCGGAGCUGAGAGGCAUGGAACACGUCAUGAACAUUUGCAAAGUUUGAAGGAAGCUCGAGUUGAUAGGCGAGGUCGCCUCUCUUGCUGACAAUCUUGAAAGGUCCCACGUAUCUGGGGGCAAGCUUCCCUUUAAUACCGAAGCGACGAGUACCUUUCAUAGGAGAGAUGCGGAGGUAAACAUGAUCUCCGAUCUCGAAAGCCAAAUCACGGUGCUUACUAUCAUAGUAGCUCUUCUGACGGAAUUGGGCUGCUUUGAGGUUAUCACGAAUGACUUUGCACAUUUCCUCUACCUCUGUGAUUAAGUCAUUACCCAAAAGCUGACGUUCACCGGUUUCAGACCAGUUGAAAGGGGUACGACACUUCCUGCCAUACAGAAUUUCAAAAGGGGCCUUGCUCGAACUUGCUUGAAAACUGUUGUUGUAGGAGAAUUCAGCAUAAGGAAGACAAUCCUCCCACUUCAUGCCGAAGGAGAUCACACAAGCCCUGAGCAUAUCUUCAAGAAUUUGGUUGACACGCUCGACUUGACCGCUAGUUUGAGGAUGGAAAGUUGUGCUGAAGCGGAUGUUGGUGCCCAUGGCCUUCUAAAAAGAAUCCCAAAACUUUGAGGUAAAGAUGUUGCCACGGUCUAAAGAGAUCACUUGUGGAAUACCGUGCAGAGAGACAAUACGAGAGGUAUAGAGUUCCGCCAAUUGAGCUGCAGUGAUCGACUCUUUGAUAGGCAGAAAGUGAGCCACUUUGGUGAGUUUGUCGAUGACAACGAAUAUAGCAUCAUUGCCACGCUUGAACUUUGGAAACCCAGUCACGAAGUCCAUUUCAAUGUGGUCAAACUUCCAUUCUGGAAUGGCAAGAGGUUGGAGGAGACCUGCUGGCCUUUGGUGUUCUGCCUUCACUCUUCUGCAGACAUCACAUUCAUUCACGAAUUGAGCAAUCUCGCGCUUCAUUCGAGUCCACCAGUAAGCCUGCUUAAGGUCCUGAUACAUCUUCGUGCUGCCAGGGUGGAUGGAGAGGAGAGAAUUGUGAGCCUCGUUCAUGAUCACUUUACGGAGGUCACCUUUGGGUACAACAAUACGAUCCUCGAAGAAGAGAGUAUCCUUGUCAUCAAGGCGGUAGCACUUGUACUUGGGUUGACUCUUGGCAAUCCCAAUCUUCACCUUUUUCACCAUAGCAUCAAGAAGUUGGGCUUGGCGAAUCUGGUCUUCCAAGGUAGGGGAGACUUGAAGGUUGGCGAGGAAACCUUGAGGAACAACUUGCAGGUUAAGUUUACGGAAAGCUUCACAAAGCUCGGGUUGAUAAGGCUUGAGAAUAAGACUGUUGCAGUAAGCCUUUCUGCUCAAUGCGUCAGCAAUCACAUUGUCCUUGCCUGGAGUAUACUCGAUACUCGGAUUAUACUCUUGAAUCAUUUCGACCCAUCGAGUUUGCCUGAGGUUGAGAUUAGGCUGAGUGAAGAUGUACUUGAGACUCUUGUGAUCAGUAAAAAUGUCCACUUUUCUUCCCAAUAGAAGAUGUCUCCAAGUCAAAAGAGCAUGCACAACUGCCGCUAACUCGAGAUCAUGAGUGGGGUAGUUCUUCUCAUUAGGCUUCAACUGGCGAGAAGGAUAAGCAACAACUUUCUUCUCUUGCAUCAAUACUGCGCCAAGACCUUGGAGAGAGGCAUCACAAAAGACCUCGUACGGCUUGGAUUCAUCAGGCGGAGUCAAAACUGGAGCAGUGAUCAAUUUCUCUUUCAAAGUGUUGAAAGCAACAUCACACUCCGGAGACCAAACGUACUUGACGUGCUUCUGGAGAAGAUUUGAGAGAGGCUUCGCGAUCUUAGAAAAGUUUUCAACGAAUCUUCGGCAAUAGCUUGCGAGACCGAGGAAGCUACGGAGUUGCUUCAUGUUCUGAGGAGGUUCCCAAUUCACAAUUGUAGACACCUUCUCAGGAUUCACGGCAAUGCCCUUGGCAGAGAUGAUAUGACCAAGGUAAAGAACCUCAUCGAGCCAAAAUUCACACUUGGAGAACUUGGCGUAGAACUGAUGUUCUCUGAGCUUAUCAAGAACCAAACGCAAGUGCUUGGCAUGAUCUUCCUUGUUCUUCGAGAAAACCAGAAUGUCGUCGAGAUAGACCAAAACGAAGUCAUUGGUGUAGGCGUUGAAGAUGAAGUUCAUCAUGCGAGAGAACGUCGGAGGAGCGUUGACGAGACCAAAAGACAUAACAGUGUAUUCAUAUGAACCAUAGCUUGUCCUGAAACCCGUCUUGGGAAUAUCUUGCUCACGGAUUCGAAUCUGAUGAUAGCACAUACGGAGAUCAAGCUUGGAGAAUACUUGGGCACCUUUGAGUUGUUCGAACAGCUCAUUGAUGUUGGGAAGUGGGUAUUUGUUCUUGAUGGUCUUCUUGUUCAAUGGACGGUAAUCAACACAAAGUCGGUCCGUUCCAUCCUUCUUCUUCACAAAAAGAACACCACAACCCCACGGAGAAGAACUAGGCCGGAUGAGACCCAUUUUCUCUUGAAUAUCGAGUUGCUUCUUCAGCUCCUUCAACUCUUCAGGUCCGAGCUUGUAAGGAUGUUUGCACACAGGUUCCGUGUCAGGCUCAAGAUCAAUAACGAAUUCAACUGGCCGGUGCGGAGGCAUUCCUGGAAGCUCUUCUAGAAAGACGUCUUGAUAUACGCAAACGACUGGAAUUUGAGAGAUGACAUCGAGUUCACCCUUCUCAUUGAGAGAAAACAGACGGAUAGUAUCGUCAUUCGCGGCAAAGACAAUUACAUCCUCAGACGAAUGAGUCAAUUGAAUCUGUCUGGCUGCACAAUCAAGCUGAGCCUUGUGCUUAGAAAGCCAAUCCAUUCCGAGAAUAAGAUCAAUAUUCGAGUUACCAAGAACCAUUGGAGAAGCCAGAAACUUGAAAUCACUCAUCAUGAUAGAAACAUCUGGGACUAUUGAAGUAGCCCUCAUAGACUUAGCCGGAGAAACCACUCCCAUAGGUUUACCCAACAUUUGUGAAACGAAGUCAUACUUGGAAACAAAUGAUCUUGACAUGAAACAAUGCGAUGCACCUGUGUCAAAAAGAACUUUUGCGGGAAUAGAGUUAACUGGAAAGUUACCCAUGAUGACAUCUGAUGAGUCCUCUGCCUGAGCUGCAUUCAGCAAGUUGACCUUGGCGUGCUUGGGGUUAUGCUUGACCACAGCUGUACUUGCCGAUCUGACAGGAGGAGGAGGAGGAAGACGCUUCUGGUUGAAACACUUGUUGGCAUAGUGACCCUUCUGUUGGCACUUGUUGCACGUGACCUCUGAAAGCGGACGGUGAUAUGGAGCACUCGAUCUUGGAGGUUGAGACGAAGUCUUGUUCUGAAAGCCAGGGUUGGGUGGGUGGGAAGAACCACUGCCACCUUUGCUCUUCUGCUGAUACGGCUGACGAAACGGAGGAGGAGGAAGCCAAUACUUCUACUGCUUGGCCACUUGAGUAGAGGAAGAAGGAGUAACAUCUCUGACUCGCUUCUUGGAAGCAUCACACCUCAACUGAGCAGCCUCUUGCUUCAAUGCCAUGUUGUAGAACUCAUCGUAUCUCAAGGGCUCAAAGAGAACAAGAGCGAGCUAAAUUUCUUCUCUGAGACCACCUCUGAACUGGUAUAUCAUGCUCUUCUCAUCAGGGACGUCCUGCUUGGCAAAGCGGGCGAGCUUCUGGAACAACUUGUUAUAGUCAUAGACAGACAAAGAGUCUUGCUUCAGGUUACGGAAUUCCUCACGCUUGCUUUCAACCACGCUCUGAGGGAUAUGAUGAGCUCGGAAAUCUUGACGGAAUUUAUUCCAAGUGAUAACACGUCCACCUCUGGAAUCCUUGUACUGCUGGAACCAUUCUGCAGCUUGAUCUUUGAGUUGGAAGGAAGCGAACUUAACAAAGUCCUCAGGCCUGACGUUACUGCACUCGAAAUGCUUGCACAGAUCCACUAGCCAAUCGUCAGCAUCGGUUGCCUCAACACAAUUGCUGAAAGUCUUUGGCCCGUUAGCAAGGAACUGGUUGAGUGUAGCAAAGUGAUUCUGAUUGUUGCCUUGAUUCCCUUGGUUGCCUUGAUUGCGCUCUUGAAGAAUUUGCAUGAUUAACUGUGUGUUUGCAUUGGUUGCGGCCAUCACAGCUUGUCAUGCCUCCGGAGGAGGUGGUGGUGAUGGCGGAUUAGGAUUCGGAGUCGUGCGCGUUGGAGGAGACAUCCUGAAGAGGUUGACAUCCAUUAGCACAUUGACAGACAAAUAUUGAAGCUGAAUCCAACGGAAUGAAAAUUGCAACAUAUAGUCUUCACAUCCGAACAAAAUGAACGAAUGCAUUCCUCUUGAAAUGGUCACAUAUCCAUAAAUUGAGAAGCCACGUAGAAUUAAGGUAGAGAAAUAAAUCAACAAGGUACGGAUCAGGAACGAAUAAUCGAUAAGAAAUUCCAAUCUCAAACCAAUAUCCGUGGAAGAAGAACUAAAGCUACAAGAAUUCCCACCUAUGAAACUCCCGAACCUUUCCGGUUAUGCAAUCAGGUGUUGGGGAUGCAGGGGAAGCAUAAUAUCUCACCCAAACUAGCAAAUCCUACAUCCAGCUGUAUCCAUCUUUCAACACAUAACCAAGAAACCUUCGGAAACCAUCUACCUCAAACUUCAAAAAGCAUCCGUUAUACAAGUUAUGGCGAUACUCCCAAACUCCCGCCCCAGUACUGGGUGGCGUCGAGGUUAUCUCACCAACGAACUGCAUAAAAGAGAUUUUCGAUGUCGGCGUACUAAACUCAGGUAUUCCAGAAUUGCAAUGAUAAAAUUAUGACGACAACACCUCAGAGCUCAACUCCCCGGGGCACUUCCACAAAACCCCUGACAGGAGGCACCAAGACAAUGUUCUCAUCAUAAAACCAUCGGAACGAUUCCAAGAUACCCGCGUGAUCCUAAAUUUUUUUUAGUGAAAUUUGAGAAGAGAAGAGUCAAAACUCUACGUCAGGAUGCCUUACCAGAGCGAUGAGGAGACUGGGAAGUAAAAAUAAUUCCUAAACUCUCCGAUAUAUAAUUCCUAAAUGACUCAAAACAUUUUUCUAGACACAACUCGACCGCUAAUAACGAUCAAGCAAUGGGGCUCCUAAGGUCGGGGAAGGCUCUGAUUACCAACUUGUAACACCCUCGAUGCGACUAUAUCUCCCACGUGUCGAGGCACGACUUAGAGGCAUAAUCGCAUUGAAAGCAUAUGUCGCAAGUUAGACAAUCUUCACAAUAUCCCAUGUAAUAUGAGAAUAAAAGGGGAGAUAAUAUAGUUGGCUUACACUCGCCACGUCAAUCAAGUACAUAAAUAAUAUUACAUCAACCAAACACUCAUGGCCCGACUACGGCGCCAAAAUAAAAGAUAACCCAACAUGCGACACGGUCCCAAUCACCCCCAACUGGGCACCACUACUGAUCAUCAGGAAAAGAAACAUAGUAACGUUGAGAGUCUUCGUCGAACUCCCACUUGAGCUCAAGCGCGUCACCUGGAGCGGUAUCAUCGGGCCCUGCAUCUGGUGUAAUAGUAAUCUGUGAGCCACAGGGACUCCGCAAUCUCGCACCCUCGCGAUCAAGACUAUUUAAGCUUAUAGGUAAGGCAAGGUAAAUAUAAGUGGAGCUGCAGCAAGCGACUAGCAAAAUAUGGUGGCUAACUUAUUCGCAAAAGAGAGCGAGAAGAGGAGGCAAAGCGCGAGCGAGAAACUAGAGAACAACCUGCGCAAACAUUACUCCAACACCGUGUCCACUUCCCGAACUCCGCCGAGAAGAGGCCAUCACGGUAACACACUCAGUUGAGUCAUUUUAAUUAAGUUAAGGUUCAAGUUAUCUACAACCGGACAUUAAAAAUUCCCAUCUGCCCAUAACCGCGGGCACGGCUUUCGAAAGUUCAAAUCCCUGCAGGGGAGUCCCAACUUAGCCCAUGACAAGCUCUCACGGUCAAUGAAGGAAUAGACCUCCUCCCAAGACGUUCCGAUCAGACUCGGUAUCUCGGUACUUCAAGACAACUCCGACAAUGGUAAAACAAGUCCAGCAACACCCCCCGCUGUGCCGACAAAUCCCGAUAGGAGCUGCACAUAUCUCAUUUUCAGGGCACACCGGAUAAGCUAAGCGUACGGGAGCCAACGUAACCCAAGUUGCCAAGGGACGGCCCCGCACGGUGCUCUAGGUUGGACCAACACUCAGAGGAUCACUGGCCCAGGGGGGGGGUUAAAAUAAGAUGACCCUUGAGUCCGCGAAACCCAAGGGAAAAGGCUAGGUGGCAAAUGGUAAAACCAAGGUUGGGCAUUGCUGGAAGAGUUUUAUUCAAAACGGACUGUCAAGGGGUUCCCAUUAAAACCCAACCGCGUAAGGAACGCAAAAUCCGGGAACAUAACACCGAUAUGACGGAAACUAGGGCGGUAAGAGUGGAACAAAACACUAGGCGAGAGACCGAGCCUUCCACCCUUUACCAAGUAUAUAGAUGCAUUAAGAUAACAUGGCAAUAUAAUGAUAUCCCAACAAGUAAAUAAAAGUUCCAACAAGGAACGACCUCCAAUUUUCACCUGCAACUAGCAACACUAUAAGAGGGGAUGAGCAAAGCGGCAACAUGGCUAAUCAACGGUUUGCUAGGACAUGGUGGGUUAGAGGUUUGACAUAGCAAUUGGGAGGCUUGAAAGCAAGUGGUAGGCAUCGAAGCAUUGGCAUAGCAAAAGAGCGAGCAAUCUAGCAUAGCAAAGAUAGUAGUGAUUUCGAGGGUAUGAUCAUCUUGCCUGCAAAGUUGCCAGAGUUGAUUGGAUCCUCGAAAUCAAACUCAACGGGCUCCUUGUUAGCGAACUCGUCUCCCGGCUCUACCCAAACAAGACAAACAAGCAACAAGGACACAAUUAACCACGUGCAAGAUCUCAAACAAUAUGAUGCAAUGAUGAUAUGCUAUGCGGGAUGCAUAUGCAAGAUGUGACAGGAAAUGCAAGAACCUGGCCUCAACUUGGAAAUCCAAGUGUGCCACUGGAAAGAUGAGACGAAAUCGCUUGAAAACGAUAUAAAGAUCAUCGGAAUCGAAGUUACGGUUUGGAAAUGGCAAGCGAUUCAAAUAUGACACCGGUCUGCGAUUUACAGCAAGUAGCCAUCUAAAUGCAAAGAGAUGAACAUGCUACAGCACCCAAACAUGACAACAAAAAACAUGGCAGGGAUGCAUUCAAGAUGCUUAACAAAAGUCUAGCACUGAACUACGGCCAAUUCAUCCAUUAACAGGUUUAAACAAGCAUGGCAAAAUGCAUAUGGCAAACAAAUUUUAGACCUAGUGAAAUUAACACUUGUCUGGAAUUUCAGAUCAGGUAGCACUCUUCGGAGCAGCAAAACUACAUGCUACAGGACCUGAACAUGGCAAGGUAAAGCAUGGCAUUGAGCUACUCAAAGAGCUUAACAAAAGUCCCUUAGUGACCUUGAGCCAAAAGGGAUCAGAAAAUACAAUUACAAGCAUGUGAACAUAGCAAAAAACAUAAUCAGUUUUCAGACUUAGAGAAAACUGGAACAUGCUGAAAACAGAUAUCAAGUAGGCAUGUUUACGAGCUCGAUGCACUCACUACGGUGCAAGUCAUGACAAACUAAGCAUACACCCACCAAGAAGGCACAAAAUUAAAGCUAGACAUGGCAAGAACAAUAGCAUAGCAUACACGGAUCAACUAUAACAUCAUCGGCAAAAUUGCAAACAAGUUGACAAUCUACCCAGAUUCACAAAGUAGCAAAAGUAGAGCUCGAUUGACUCAAGCUAGGGUGCACCAUAAUUGCAAACAAAGACAUGGAUGGAUAGAGCACUACAAGAUUAACAAAACAUCCUUACUGAUCAUCCUCAAAAGAGGCACGGAUCACUAGGAAACAACAUGAACAUAUGGCCAUAUGAGAUAAACAGCUCAAGGACUUAGUGGAAUUGCUAAGUCCCUGAAAACAAAAUUAACAAGUGCACCACUUUGCAAGCUUGUGCUAGUCACCACACACAUCACAAAAAUACAUGGGUUGCACCUUUGAAAAGAUGGCAAAACCCUUAACAAAACAUAUGUAGAACUCAUGGGUAUAGCAUGCACACAAUAAUCAUGGCAAAAAUGACAAAAACCUAAACGGAGCAGCAGAUCUGACAAUUAUCUCAAGUAGCCCUCUUCUAACAGCAUUUCUGGCAUCAAGAUGAACUCAAAUGAAAAUGAUGCAAUGGAAUGAAAUGAUGUACUCUCUGAGAUGAACAUUUUGAUAUGCUAUAUGCAUGAAUCGGAGCUACGUAUGCAAAGUUACGAGGCUAUAAACAUGGGCACAUGGAUCUGAAAAUUCCGAGGACUUAGUAGAAAAAUCAACAUCCGGGAAAAGUGGAUCUCGCGGAUCGGGACGGAGCGGUGCGGGGACGGGCGAGGGCGUUUGGAUCGGGAACCGGUGGAUCUGGUCCCGAUCCGGAUCCGGCCGGAAUCUCGCCGGAGUUCGCCGGGGAGGUGACCGGAGAUGGUGGUGGAGACAGCCGGCGAGCGAGGCGAGCGGGGCGGCGGCCGAAGCCACGCAGGGCGGCGGCGCGGCGAGCACNNNNNNNNNNNNNNNNNNNNNNNNNNNNNNNNNNNNNNNNNNNNNNNNNNNNNNNNNNNNNNNNNNNNNNNNNNNNNNNNNNNNNNNNNNNNNNNNNNNNNNNNNNNNNNNNNNNNNNNNNNNNNNNNNNNNNNNNNNNNNNNNNNNNNNNNNNNNNNNNNNNNNNNNNNNNNNNNNNNNNNNNNNNNNNNNNNNNNNNNNNNNNNNNNNNNNNNNNNNNNNNNNNNNNNNNNNNNNNNNNNNNNNNNNNNNNNNNNNNNNNNNNNNNNNNNNNNNNNNNNNNNNNNGUUGGGGCGGCGGCGACGUCCGACGUGGGGCGGACAAUGUCCGGCCGUGCGGAGACGAUUUUUUUAGGGUUUCAGGGAGGGGGUCCGAGAUUUUCGAGGAGGACCUAUUUAUAGGCAUAGAGGGAGCUAGGAGAGUCCAAAUGAGGUGCGGUUUUCGGCCACACGAUCGUGAUUGAACGCUCUAGAUGAUGGAGAAGGCUUAGGUGGGUUUUGGGCCAAAAUGGAGGGGUGUUGGGCUGCAAAACACAUGAGGCCUUUUCGGUUCCUCGGUUAACCGUUGGAGUAUCAAACGAAGUCCAAAUGAUAUGAAACUUGACAGGCGGUCUACCGGUAGUAAACCAAGGCCGCUUGGCAAGUCUUGGUCCAAUCCGGAAAUGUUUAAUCCCCACACACGAAAGAAAGGUAGAAAUGACCACCGGAGGAGAAUGAAGCGCCGGAAUGCAAAACGGACAACGGGGAAAAUGCUCGAAUGCUUGAGAUGAACACGUAUGCAAAUGCAAUGCACAUGAUGACAUGAUAUGAGAUGCAUGACAACGAUAACAACACACGGAGACAAAGACCCGAACCCGAGAAAAUAAAAUAACGUAAUGCCGAAACGGCAAGAGUUGGAGUACAAAUUGGGAAAGUUACAUCCGGGGUGUUACAGUGGUGCAUCGCCCUCCUUUCGCUGCGUGGUCGUCCUCUUCGGAGCUCGCGGUUGUCUACUGCCAGCUCGGGCUAGGCCCGGUUCAAAUGAGGUGUUGUGUGGGCAGGAUGGAUGUAGUCGAAUUUGGACUGUGGUGCCAUAGAUCUGGAGAAGGGCGGCAGUGGGGUGCCAUGGCCCUUUAUGUGGUUCCGUCUUGAUCAGCAUGCCAUAAGAUGGAUUGUUCGGCUACAGCGAGAUGGACGGCGAAAUUGCUCGGAUUUUUGUCAGGCUGACGAUGACGACACCUUUGGGCGUCGCAUACCUUGUUGAAGGUGUUGUCGAUGUCGUUCUUGCCUACCUGACUGCUGGUCUGGGGAAACCCGAGAUCCAGGUGAUCUUGAAUCAUAAUGAUGACAUCAAUGAUGUUGUUUUUCUCUCUUGGGAGCAUUGUUUUGGAGCUGCAUCGGUUAGGGUACAGUGGAUGGUGGCAUGUACACAUUAUGGUGGACGCUUCCAUGUCUAAUCGGUGCCAUGUUUUGGGUGGUUGAGGCAUCGAGAUGGAGCGUGGCGGUGGGUGGCGGCAAUCCUUUGUUGAGACGCGAUGUUAAUCGCAAUUUAUGGGUCAUAGUCGCUGCUUUGGCAGGAUAGUGACAUCAUAAUCAUGCAAUUUCUUACUAACAAAAGUAAAGAAAGAACCUAGCAGUCAAUAUCAAAUCAUACAUCAUUCUCUCAAGCAAUUCCAAACCAAGAAAGCAAAAGGGAAAAGAAUACCUUGCGGGCAUGUCAUCAAGCACAUCGGCCUCGCCCAUGGUCUUGUUCGAAUCCAGGUUGUGCUCGGUCGUCGGAGGUGAAGGAGGUGGCAGCGCGGCUCCAGCAGGUCGUGUACUAGUCAUCAUCGCCGCGAGAGGUUGAAGUGGAAGCUUAGGGGAGCCCGCAACCUCCUCCUUCAUCGCCGCCACCAUGUUGUCUAUCGCCUUGGAAGACGGCCGAAGGUCCCGUUUGACGGUCGGCGUCGGCAAGGGUGGUUGGCUCGUCAUGACGGCUCGAGUGGCGACAGCCGCCAGUGAUGAACCACUGUCAAUGAGGUCCUUGCCUUUUGCCGCCAUUUCGCUACUAGCAUUGCCGAAUUCGCAUGCCGACAAGGGCGCCUAGGUGCGACGUGGAUGGGUUAUAAGUUCUGCCGGUCAUUGGGGAUGGGGACCGCGGCGACAGGGUGAAGAGCGGUGGCGUUGGGGUUGUGCGGGAAAGCUGCGGGCAAUCGUGAGGGGGUGGCUUUUCCUAAUAAUCCUGGUGGCUAGACUAAAAGUGAGCAAGUGGGAGGAGGUAUGGAAGGGGAGCCGUUUUUAGGCGAAAAAGGGCCAUAUAAGGAAUUUGUUAGAUACCCCUUAAUCCCCUAAAACCAACUUUUUCCUAUCAAAUAUAACUUAUAAGGGAUCCACAAGAGAUGCCCUUGUAACGUGCUCUAGAAUUUGUCCCAUUUUGUGUGUUUGUAGAUGCUUCGCUAGCAUUAUCUUAUGAUUAAGCAUACAUUCUUAGCAGUAAUGAAAUUGAAGCGUUUCAUUAUGAGCAAUUGCUAUUAUGUACCUGUAUGUCUGUAGCAUGGCUUGAAAAUCUCUUCCCUGGACAGGCAAAAAGUUCUGAAUUUCACUAGAUCGCCCACAAGAAGAAACCCAGGCAGUAGGUAUAUCUGUGCUUCAUUAGUAGAACUAUUGUCCAACUAGUAUAACUGUAUAAGGUUGAAUUAUCUCGACAUUGCUUGUGCCUGUCAAUAAGAUUGUUGAGGUUAAGCAUUUACUAUUACAUGGCCAAAAGCCAGAAUGGUGUGUUGAACCUGCAAAUCUGGAAAAUCGGUAGUUUGGAAAACCAAUUAGUAGAAGUAAUUAGGGUGAAUGACCGUGUGUGUCUCUCAGACCCGCACCUCUUAUUUACAGUGCUAAAAUUACAUACUUGGUUAGACUUACUCGGACUAUAUUAGGAAUUCAGACAUCCCCUUUCAAGAUGGGCCGAAGAUAUCGAUUUGUCCCAUCUUGUUAUAUUAUAAUAGCACCCUCUAGUACCUACCCUUUUGGUUUAAUAGUCAGGUAACUGCUCGCCUACUCGAGACAUACUCCAACUUUUUUUUUUGAGGGGAGACAUUCCAUUUUUAGCACCCUACUCGUCACUUUCUCCUUGAUGAAAAACUUAUAGGCUUGCAGUCACAAUGCAUUGCCAAAGAGUCAUUCCCCAACACUGAAAGCUGACAGUAGAGCGACCAUUUUUCACACAACCUCAAUUCAGUUGCUCUAUGCUCUGCCUGUGUAGUAGACGGAGCUACAAUUGGUCGGUACAACUCCAUAUCACAAGAUAUUUCCCACGAAGAUGUUGAUUACCUUGUCAGCAGACCACUUGCCCAAUCUGCGUCUCAAUAUCCUUGUACACUCGAUCUUCUGUUUUCGAACUGUAAAUCCUUUGCCAAGAAGGGUACUCUUUAAAUACCUCUGGUUCCAGUAUACAACCCUAGAGAACACCUGUGUUGUGACACUAUGUCAAGAUUGACCGGUGAUGUCGACCUACUGCAUCCUCUAGAAUUUCUACACCUAGGUCAUUGAUAUUUUCCAUAUCACAAGAUUGGCUUAAGGCUUGGUGUACCAGUCAUGGUUCUCCGAAAAAUUAAUACGACCACUGUUUGGGUUUGCAACUGAACUCGCUUGCUACUCGCAAGCCUGGGUGGACUCGGUGCUGGAAGAGAAAUCAUUGCCGGUUCAAAUAAGGCCAGCCUGUCUGUAUUCCUUGGAUUGUUCUGAGUUCAGCGGGUUGUAAGUGGCCAUUUACGCUGCUACACCAUCGUACGACCUUCAAAAGAGGGUACCCGACACAAGUAGGAGACAUGGAAUAUAGUGUACAGAGUGAUCGUCGAAUCCCUGUAGCCCCUGGUGAAUCUUCUUGCAGGGUAGAAGGUACAGCCAUUCCCCAACUGUAUUUUUUUUCUGUCUUGUGAUUCAUUAACCUUUAUUCAUGACGCCGGCCCAUUUACUUCUCUGAGGGAAACAAAUAUAUUACCACCGUCCCAAAUUAGAUCCAAGAAAAUAGAGCGAGCGGCGCACUUUUCUUACCUUUGCUGCAUCAUAGCCACGUUCAGGAACUCAGUGACUGCCAGAAUGGCGAUUUUAGUUGCAAUGCUUGCAUUGGUCAACCAGGCAUUUUAGGCUUUUGUACAGCAAGAUUAUGACCAAGUUUUUAGAGGAAUUUAAACUUUCAAAUUAGUUUUGGUUGGGGUGCGCCUGCCUGGGCUGUAGUGCAACGCCCAGGCGACACCCAAGGGCCCCCCCAGUGGCAAGCCACUGUGAUAUACCCUCCUCCACAAAAAAUAAAUUUAAUAUCAUUAUGGGCACAUGGCCCACAUAUCAAAUAUUAAACUGAUAAAAACAGAUACUGCACUUGAUCUUAGCCAAAAGGCCGAAAAAGGUAUGAUUUGCACGCCCCCCUCCCCCUGCUCUUAUAGCUUUGUCCACCGUCUCUCCGCUCUGGGCCAGCGAGGUGGUACUAAACGAAACGAAAGAACGGAGAGAGUCCCUGCUGCUCUCGGGCGAACAGCCUAUGCGCCCCUCGUUCGUUUGGGCUUCAUCUGGCCCGGUAAGAACACCACGGCAGCAAUGCUUCUACGGCCCAGUAUUAAACAUCCCGUGGCAAAUUGCCGUUGGGCCAGCCCAUUUAGUGAAUAAAGAACGUGCACUGGACGCCAGUUUUGGCGACCUUUUUCCUGUCCGGUUUUGGCAACCUUCCAGAAGGUUCCUGAACCCUUUUUUACUGGUUUUAUUUUAUUUUUUAAAUUAAUUUCUUCCUUUUUUACCUUUACUCUUUUUCCUCUUUCUUUUUUCUUUUAUUUUCAUUUUCUCUUUACUUUGACGAAUUUAUGUUUCUUUUUUCUAAAAAAUGUGUUUGGAAUUUCUAAAUUUCUUACAAUUUUCAAAAUUUGUUCAGAAAUUCAAAAAAUGUUUGUCGCAUUCGAAAUUUUGUUUAGAAAUUCGAAAAAUGUUUCCUUUCUAAAAAACUGUUAACAAUUUAAAAAAAUUCGAAAUUUCAUAAUUUUUUUAGAAAAUUUAAAAAUUGAUCCCGAUUUUCAAAAAUUGUUCAUAAAUUCAAAAAGAGUUUGAGAAUUCAAAAAAAUGAUCUACUUUCCAAAAUUUGCUCAACAAUUCAAAAAUGUUCAGCAAUUAAAGAAAUGUUCGGGAUCUAACAAUUUGUUCAGAAUUUCCAAAAAAAAUUGUUUUUUAAAAUUUGUUUACAAACUUAAAAAAUGUUUGGGAAUUUGAAAAAAUGUUCACGGUUUCAAAAAUUGUGUCGUGUUCCAACACUGCAUGCACGCACUCGACUAAUUCACGGGGCACCUCAAGAACGAGCAGAACCCAUAGCCGCCAGCGGCACCCUGGCGGCACCGAAAGGAUCUUUGUGCUCCUCGAAGGCAGGCCCAUGGCUAUCACCGGGCCUAGAUAUGGCGGCGAGGGCAUGGCAACGAGAAGACAAGAAAAAUCACCAUCAUCAUGUUUGAAGUAGGGGUUUCAUUAAACUUAUGAAGACCAUAGGUGCCAUAACUCAGUGAUGACAUAAUCCUUGCAAACAUUAUAUUUAGAAAAUCUACAACUAAAAAAAGAUUCAUAAAAUCUACUUUGAGAAUGGCUUCUUAUUUAGAGAACUACUUGACGCGUGAUAAAUGUGAAGAGGCAGUAUAUUUGUUCAGGUCAUCUUUUAGCAAAUCUCUAUCCUAAAAGUCCAAAACCUUCUUCCUAUCUCAUUUCCCUAAAGCAGAUCCCCUAUUCCAAUUUUUUUUGCCAUUUUUCAAAACAUUUGCUAGAACAAUUGAAACAAAUUCACCAUAUUUAAAAACAAACAUAGACAAUUCAAAUGGACCACAUCGUAAUUCAACUACAAGCAUAAAUAAAGUUCAUCGAAUCCAUCAAAGAGAACCACAUGAACAUGUCUCCCUCGCAUGGAUCAAACCGUCUUGUCUUUCCCGCAUGGUUCUUGGCGGAUACCCUCCCGGAUCCGUCCUGGUGGGCUGCUCCGGAUCUGCAGCCUGUAGCGCGCCGGCUUUCGAGACACGCAAGGAUGCAUGUUGCGCGUCUUCGCGGGGCUGUCCAGCCGUGGUGACUUCUUCGAGGCGCGUGUGGUGGUGCAUCGCCCUCCUUUCGCUGCGUGGUCGUCCUCUUCGGAGCUCGCGGUUGUCUACUGCCGGCUCGGGCUAGGCCCGGUUCAAAUGAGGUGUUGUGUGGGCAGGAUGGAUGUAGUCGAAUUUGGACUGUGGUGCCAUAGAUCUGGAGAGGGGCGGCAGUGGGGUGCCAUGGCCCUUUAUGUGGUUCCGUCUCGAUCAGCAUGCCAUAAGAUGGAUUGUUCGGCUACAACGAGAAUGACGGUGAAAUUGCUCGGAUUUUUGUCAGGCUGACGAUGACAACACCCGAGGGCCCCAAUGUGGGGUGCGCCUGCCUAGGCUGUAGUGCAACGUCCAGGCGACACCCGAGGGCCCCAAUGGCAAGCCACUGUGGUGGACCCUCCCCCAUAAAAAAUAAAUUUAAUAUCGUUUUGGGCACAUGGCCCACAUAUCAAAUAUUAAACUGAUAAGAACAGACACUACACUUGAUUUUAGCCAAAAGGCCGAGAAAGGUAUGAUUUGCAAUGAUGUGUUGCCCCUCUUCUUAUAGCUUCCUCGACCACCUCCCUACUCUCCACCAGCGAGGUGUUACUAAAGGAAAGAACGAAGAGAGUCCCUGCUGCACUCGGGCAAACAGUCUUUGCGCCUCCCGUUCGUUUGGACAUCAGGCCCGGUAAGAAUACACCACGGCAGCAAUGCUUCCACGCCCCACUAUUACGUUGUUUCCAACAGAGCCUAGCGACCGAUUGGAUUUCAUUGGGCCGGCUCAUUUAGUGAAUAAAUAACUUGCAAUGGACGACAGUUUUGGGAAAAAAAUUCCUGGCCGGUAUUGGGAACCUUCUGAAAAAAAAGAAGCUUCCUGAACCCUUUUUUAUUGAUUUUUCUUUCAGUUUUAAAUUUAAUUUUUAAUUUUUCUUAUUUUUCCUUUUUAAUUUUUCUUCUUUUCUUUUCAUUUUUGUUUUUGUUUUUUCCUUUCUUAAAUUUAUUUCCCUUUUUCUAAAAAAAUGUUUGUAGAAAUUUCAACAUUCUUCUUUGAAAUUUGGCAAUUUCUUCCUGUUUUAAUUUUUUUUUCAAAAAGUAAAAAAAUGUUUGUUGUUUUAACAAAUUUGCUUGGAGUUUAAAAAAAUGUUUCCUUUUUCAAAAUUGUCCACAGUUUCAAAUCAAAAUGCAAUUUCAAAAUUUGUUCAAAAAUUCAAAAAAUGAUCCUGAUUCUCAAAACUGACAGGUGAGCCUUUUGACAGACCAUUUUUCACACAACCUCAAUGACAUUGCUCUAUACUCUGCGUAGUAGUAGACCGAGCUGCAACCUACAAAACUCCGUGUCACAAGAUAUUUUCCACAGAGAUGUUAGUAUCCUGAGGAAGAUCUUUUGUCACCACACUUCUUGCCCAAUCUGCAUUGCAGCAUCCUUUGUGCUCUCAGUGUUGUCUUUUUGAACCCAAGUCCUUUACCAAGCCCAUUGUGAUACAGAGGGAGUACCUCUGGUUCCAGUAGACAGCCCUAAAGAUCACUUCAGUUGUGACAGAGUGUCAGGCUUGACUGGUGAUGCCGACCGACCCACGGCAUCCUCUGGAAUUAUCUACACUCUACAGUUAUUAACAAUUUUGCACGUCACAAAAUACAAAAUUGCCUAAGUUUGCUGUGUGCUAAUCGCCCGGGUGGAAGAGGCCUAUCCAUUUAGCUCAUUAGUUUCACCUCAUUUUGCUUUUCAUCAGGUAUUCAAUAUAAUUUCAGAAGUCUUUUUAAAAGGAUUCAAAAAGUUUUCAAAUAGUAUUGGUUGGGGUGCGCCCGCCUGGGCUGUAGUGCAACGCCCAUGCAACAACUGAGAGCCCCAAUGGCAAGCCAUUGUGGUGAACCCUCCCCCAUAAAAAAUAAAUUUAAUAUCAUUAUAGGCACAUGGCCCACAUAUCAGAUAUUAAACUGAUAAGAACAGAUACUACACUUGAUCUUAGCCAAAAGGCCGAGAAAGAUAUGAUGUGCAAUGAUGCCCUCCCCUCCUCUUAUAGCUCUGUCCACCAUGUCUCCGCUCUCCGCCAGCGAGGUGGUACUAAACCAGAACCAAAGAACAGAGAGUCUCUGUGGCGCUCGAGCAACCAGCCAAGCCAGCCUAUGCGCCUCUCGUUCGUUUGGGCUUCAGCAGGCCCGGUAAGAACACCACGGCAGUCAGCAGCCUAUAGUUCCACGGCCCAGUAUUACGACUCCUUUUUUUCGCUGUUCGUUUCCCUAGCUGAGUGUGUGUGACCUGAUCAUGCCGACCAUGAAUGAAGCCACCACACCACACGCCCCCCACCCCCCAAAAAGAAAAACAGACGAGUCUGUUGCGUUCAGUUCAACCUGUAGGGAUCGAUCGACGUCGACAAAGAUGUACGUCACCAUGAAGGAUCGGGCGAGUCGCGCAAGUGCAGGAUGACAACGCCGCCAACGACUACGUGAACGUGUUCCAAUACUACAUGCAGCUCGACUACUUCGCAGCGCAGCUCAAGUGCGAGCAUAACCCAUAGUCGUCAGGCUCCCGCGGUACAUCGUCAAAGCUGAAGAGAUCCGGACGCUCCUCUAAGGACUAAGGCAAGCCCAGUUGUCUUAAGUGGUGGCUUAUUGGUGUUGAGCAUUUGCCUCUUUGGUGCGGUUUCAAAGUUUUUCUUGUCCACUUCUCAUGUCCAUCAAACUCCGAGUAGCAAUGAUGCAGAGUAAGCGGGUUGGAGCCAUUUCUCUUGUUCCUUUAUUUGUAGAGAGGAGAGCUUGCAUGACGGGCUUGUACUCCUUGAUGGCCAGUCCAUUUGAUGGCGCAAGGUUUGACUUGCAAAACACAUCCGGUCCACCGUUUGCAUUGGUCUGGUUGCAUUGGUCUUGGAUUAAAGUCCAGCGAUGACCGAGAGAUCUGGUUCUGCGGUUGGAGGGACUGGUUACAUUGCUAUUGCAGUGCUUCUCGGUGCUUUGCUAAAAUUUCUCCUUUGUUUUGUUUGCACCGAUGAUGGCAUCGAGGUCGACCCAAGCUUCACACAAACAUUUGUCUUCCUUAUGGUUUUAAAAAAUUUGUUUUCCUUGGUCUUGUAGUUGCAUGACCUACUCCUCUUCUUGUUUCCUUGAUUCUCCUCGACCUCAUCCACCACCUCAGCAUUUCUUGUUUGCAUAUCUGGCAUUGACAUGGCAAUAUCGCCGAGACCGAGUGUGUGGCUUACAUCCAAUUUUUUCAUGAAAGCGACGGCAUUCUCAUGCAAUUGCUCACUACAAAAGUAAAAGAACCAAUCAAUCAAUAACAAAUCAUGCAUCAUAUGUACAUCUAUAUAUAUACAUCUAUUCUCUAUACAUACAAAUAUAAAAAUAAUAGAUGGUUGCGGGAGUUGAUUGAAGCCCCCUCCCCCCGCGUCCACCUUGAGAAACCACACCAGCUAGGACUAGGAUCUUCUGCUUGUUGUCGUCGUUGAUGCCGUCUUGCUUUUGUUACUACUUGUUUGCAGUGAUUUGUACAACCACCGAAGGCUGCUCGCUAGGCUAGCAUCGCUGGAAGACGCAUACCAAGUGUUCAACAAAAUGCAUAAGCCAACUAUAACUUUUAUUCCUUUAAGUUUAGGGGGUUGGUUAGGCCCUGCCAAAAUUUAGUACAGUAAAAAUACUCCGCUAAGCUUUACUCGGCCGGAUACUCCUCUAUUUUUCAGGGGAUCGGCUAGAGUUGCUCUCAGUCAUCUCUUGAUAUUUUUUCUUCAAACGUUUUUGUUUGUUUGCUUCUAUAUCUUAGUCUCAUCAACUUAUCCGUGUAGUUUAUCAAUCUAUGUGAUUAGACCGGUUCAAGCAAUUUUUUUAUGACUUAUAGUAGUAUUUCUUACUGUGCAAAUUUCUUCUUACAACUAAUGGCUAAUCCGGGCUAAAAAAACUCCAAUUUAGUUAUUUUAUCUAUUACUACUUCUUAGUUCAUAGCACAUUUCAUCUUCAUGUACGAUGUAUGGUAAUUCGAGAAAUCAUUUAACUUUGAGUUUUUGGCACUUAAAGUUUCAGGAAGACCUAUGGAGAUUUUUCUUUUAAAAAAAAUCAACAACUUCUAAGAUGCCCGAACUAGUUGAUUUGAACAAGCUUUCCAAGGACCAAUCUAAAAGGAAGAGGAUUGUAGAUUACAAUCCCAAACAUCAUGAAACCAAAGGUAAUGGCAUAGCUAAAGCUCCUUUUGUUUUUUAAUACCGGCCUUCGUUAAUGUUUUCAUUCAUCCUCAAUUUAAUCAUGCUCUUUUUGUUGAUGUUGCUGGUUGUAGGUUAGAUUGCUAUAAAAAUGAUCAGACCUUCUUUGGUUUGUAGGAACUCUAAAGGAUAGGAUCUUUGUGGAGAAUUAUUUUUUUGAAGCCCUUUGGUUUGUAGGAAUAGAAUCUUAUUCAUGUAUGGGAUAGGAACCAAUCCAUUGUAUUUCAAUUUUCAAAAGAAAAAAAACCAUUAGCCUUGAUCCAAAGGAAAAAUUCUAUCCUAUGAACCAAAUGGCACCUCUUUCUCUAAGGGAUUUGAGAUAGAUGUCAUAUCACUUCCUAUAUUUUUUCUAUUCCUAUGGUAUUAUAUCUUUCGAACCAAAAGAGGCCUGAAUAUUCUGUUUUGCAACCUCGGAUGAAGUAGUUCAUUUUAUCUCAAAUGGUUAUCUUUUGUUACGUUUCAACGAAUUUGGUCACCAUGUGAAGAAUGAAGUGAUUAUGCCCACAUUUUAGUUUACAUCGAUAUUGUUGCCUUAUUGAUUCAUAAAUAACUCCAUGCAUUUUUUAGCCCCCUCUAAAAAAAUUGGUCUGCCCUGGAGGGCGAGCUCCUUGUUCGACUCCGCUAUGGGGGCGUCCCAAUCAAUGGGUCGGCUUCAAAGGAGGAGCCGCUACCGAAGCCGGACAUGGUGGCGACGGAAGGCGGCGAGGGGAGAGGAUGGGGAGUAGAGCGGUUGGGUUGCGAUUUUUCGGGCUGUCCGCUCAGACGUUUGGUAGAAGGGUAAGAGGGGUUCGGUUGUAGAAGAUCUGCCUCAUAUAUAUCUCCGGCUGUCCAUGCCUACGUGCUCCAACCGAGGCACUGACGGUGGAGCUCGCCGUCGGACGUGACUGAUUGUAUGAUCGAUGGUGGCCGAGAUAAUCCUUUAUUUACAGAAGAUGGCGGACGAGAUAAUAUUUCCCAGCAGUUUAUCGCUGCCUGGGGGGUCUGCUCAGUCGUCAGCAACGAUGUCUGCGGCUGACGUCGUACCGUUGCCGCUACCUGCUCCACUCGAACUCGAGUCGACGCGAAUCCACGCAAGCGAGCGGGGCAAGUCCACCGAGUCCCAUUAAACAAACCCGAAUCCACGCAAGCAAAGCGAAGCGGCUCUCUGUACUACAAGGGGCGCGCGCCCCAGCUGAGAGCUCCUCGCCUCGCCGGCUCGCCCGAUCCUUGUCUUGCUGGCGCUAGCUAGCUCCAGCGCGGGUCAAUAUGGCGGCGGCGAUGGUGUGGGUGCCGAUACUGGAGGAGGGGGUGUUCCGGUUCGACGCGUCGGAGGCCGCGCGCGCGGCGGCCGGGCCCAGCCUGUCGUUCGCCGAGCCGCGCCGCCGGGAGGUGGUACUGCGUGAGGGGGUGGACGACGCCGGCCGCCCCGCGGUCGUGCCGGAGUGCGAGGUGGUGGGUGACGACGUCCACAGGAUUCUCAUCAAGGUACGGGUUUUGGUCGUCAGGGAAAUGAUGUUUACGUGUAUACAGUGCACUGUGCCCGUUAACUCUCACUGGGGUACACUUGUUUUUUUUAGGGUAAAGCAAAGCUUUAUAAAAUAACGGUGUACGGGCAAGUCGCCCGAAACACAAACAACCACUGAGGGCGGUACAAUAGAGUCCCAGCUAGCGCUGUCAUGUGGCAAACAACUACGACCAACUUUAGCUAAUUCGUGUGCUACAGAGUUCGCACUACGACGAUAAACACUGAUGGAGUGUUGUGAAAACCACAUCUUGAGCUGGAAUUUAGUGUCCUCAAUGAUGGCCGCAUAAGGAGAUGAAUCCACCUUGGUGAAGUCAAGAGCUUUGGACAGGAGCUUUGAGUCUGUUUCGAAGAUCACCCGGAGUGCACCAACCUCGGCCGCCAUUGAGACGGCCUCAGACAUGACAGUAGCUUCCGCAGCAAAAGGGUUGGCAACGUGUUCCUUCCGUCCCGCACGGGUCAGCAUGACCUCCCCAGCAUCAUCCCGUAUCACUACACCCCAUGUUACAAAGGACUCGCCCGGGGUGAAGGCUCCAUCCAAAUUGAUUUUGACCCUGUCCUUCUCCGGGGGUUGCCAUCUGCAGUCCGGUUUGUGUUUGGCCUUUGCACCAAAAAGCUGCAUAUACUCCUGUGUGUUACUGAACACACGCCGAACCACCUCAGACACAGGGACUGGUAGCUCGCCCUCUCUAACCUUGUUCCUGUGGUUUCACCAAUGCCACCAGAAUGUGAGAAUCUGUAUUCUUUUCUUUUCAUCUAACGUCCACAGGAAGUCCUGCAUUACAUGCACUGAUGUGAAUUGUUCAAACUCCACUCUGGUCGCUUCCAAGCUCAUGGCUCGCCAGGCUAUCUUAACCUCUUUGCAUUUGACGAAGAGAUGUGCGCCAUCCUCAUCUGCAAGGCCACACAAGAGGCACUUCGUGGAUUCAAGUUUAACUCCCCUCCGGGCAAGAUUUGUCCGCAGCGCAAGAGACUCAUGUUUGAUCCUCCAUGUGAACAUUUGAAUUUUGCGCGGAGUUGGAAGUUUUCAAAUCCUCUUCCAGGACAUAUCAUCACAUCGGUCCAGGUUGCCAGCCGCCGUGGCGCUGUUGCCUGCGCCAUCGCCGCGAUCUUGUUUCUCCAGUUGGACCUGCAGCUUGUAGGCAUUCCGGACUGAAUGUUGGCCCUUGCUGUCAAAGUGCCAAGCCAUGAAAUCGUCAACACCUUCUCGAAGCGGGAUCUGUAGGAUAUGGCGAGCGUCGUCCGGCCAGAACGAUGCAUUGACAAGUUCUUCAUCCCAGGUACCCGUGACCGGGCUGAUGAGCUCACUGACCUGUGUGAGCAGGCUCUGUCCACGUGGGGUGAUGACUUGCCUCGACCAAGCUCUAGGAAUCCAUGGAUCAGUCCAUAUCUUCACCGUUGAGCCAUCCUCGAUCCUUCAGAUGUAACCCUGUUUAACUAGAUCGAGGCCCUUCAAUAUGCUUCUCCAGGUUGUAAGAUAUCCCAUCUCUCGGCACCGCCUCCAGGAUACUACAGUGCGGGAAGUAGCGAGCUUUCAAAAUUCUGCAACAGAGGCUGUCGGGGUUUUGAAGCAGUCGCCAUCCUUAUCUGGACAACAUGGCGAUGUUAAAAUUGUGCAUGUCCAGAAAUCCCAAUCCUCCCAUUGCUUUUGGCUUCGUCAGAGUCUCCCAGCUUAACCAGUGUGUUGGAAUAAGCCACGAUGUGUGCGAUCGGGCUCAUCGGGCGCGAUGGAUACGCGCGGGACGGGCGGGACGCACUGGUGCCGUCGGGCUCGUCGGGCGCGUCGGUGACGCGCGGGACGGGCGGAACGUGCGGGAUGCAGCAGCGUAAGCUAACUAACUCCAACACACACGCACACGGACUCGUGCACACACACGCACCUACGAACCUGAUGCGGCCACACACCGCCCACACACACGCGCCACGCUGCUGCAUCCCGCAUGUUCCGCCCGUCCCGCGCGUCACUGAUGCGCCCGACGAGCCCGGCGGCACCAGUGCGUCCCGCCCGUCCCGCGCGUAUCCGUUGCGCCCGACGAGCCCGACCGCACACACCGUGGCUUAUUCCAACACACACCCCCUAAGCCACGGCCUACAGCAGGUGAGUCCAUCGUCGUCGAUGUCGCAAUGGCCGCUCCUACGGCCUCCUCGACGCUUGACACUGCCUCCAUGACGCCAUGUCCUGCACGCCCCGGCUCGCGCACACGAUCACGCACUGACGUGAUCGACGCGGCCGCCCUGCGCUCUGCUGGACGCGUUCUCCCCCGGUGAUCCGCAUGCCCGUACGCGCGCCCGCAGUCCCGACGCGCCCGACGCGUCCAGUGCACACCCAUAACACGCACCGGUCGCGCCCGGCUCGCCGCCACGGCUUAUUGCCCUGCACCGCUGCGGUCUCAACUGCAGCGCAGUGCCUCCACAGUCGUCGCGCCGAGCCGCCGCGGCCUCUGCGACACCACGCAGGUCCUCCGCGACCUUCUCGUCUCUGCGACUGCCGCUGCUCGUUGCGCGCACGGCAUCACGCCACACCGCCGUGGACUUGCCGCGCGUUGCCGACGCCACGCGCUCGCCACGCGCCGUUGCCAAGACCUUCAUGUCCGCCGCGCACCGCGCGCGCCACGAACGCCGCUGCACGCCACGGCUGCCCCUCGAACCCGGUCACUCUGAUGCCAAUUGUUGUUGCAGCUCUUUCUCUCUCUCAUAGCUGGAGGUAGAAGAAGGAGGAGCAUACAGUAUACUGAAGUUUCAUCCAGCUUCACAGCCCCGUUACUAUUCUCAGAGCAUCAAUUCUACUCAACAAAUACAUGGUCACGUCCACGGCUUUGUAGCCCUACAGCUACGCAGCAUCCACGUCUCCUGCGCAUACAUGCAAGUAGCGGAGCGAGCGAUCCGCCCGGCCAACGACGCGCACACAACGCACUCGAUCCAUCUGAUCGUAACAGCCUUUCUACUGCAUGGUGCAUGCACAGCUCCUCCACGCUACAUGCAUGUCAAGCUAACUAACUCCAACACACACGCACACGGACUCAUGCACACACACGCACCUACAAACCUGAUGCGGCCACACCGCCCACACACACGCGCCACGCUGCUGCAUCCCGCACGUUCCGCCCGUCCCGCGCGUCACCGACGCGCCCGACGAGCUUGCCGCCAUGGCUUAUCGCCCUGCACCGCUGCGGCCUCGACCGCAGCGCAGCGCCUCCACAGUUGUCGCGCCGAGCCGCCACGGCCUCUGCGACACCACGCAGGUCUUCUGCGACCUCCUCGUCUCUGUGACCGUCGUUGCUCGUCGCGCGCACGACAUCACGCCACACCGCCGUGGACUCGCCGCGCGUUGCCGACGCCACGCGCUCGCCGCGUGCCCGACAUCAUGCCCCACUGCCGUGGACUCGCCACGCGCCGUUGUCAAGACCUUCAUGUCCGCCGCGCACCGCGCGCGCCGCUAACGCCACCGCACGCCACGGCCGCCCCUCGAACCCGGUCGCUCUGAUACCAAUUGUUGCUGCAGCUCUUUCUCUCUCUCUCUCGUAGCUGGAGGUAGAAGAAGGAGGAGCACACAGUAUACUGGAGUUUCACUCGGCUUCACAGCCCCGUUACUAUUCCCAGAGCACCAACUCUACUCAACAAAUACAUGGUCGCGUCCACGGCUUUGUAGCCCUACAGCUACGCAGCGCCCACGUCUCCUGCGCAUACAUGCAAGUAGCGAAGUGAGCGAUCCGCCCGGCCAACGAUGCGACCAUGUAUUUGUUGAGUAGAGUUGGUGCUCUGGGAAUAGUAACGGGGCUGUGAAGCCGGGUGAAACUCCAGUAUACUGUGUGCUCCUCCUUCUUCUACCUCCAGCUACGAGAGAGAGAGAAAGAGCUGCAACAACACAGUGCAUUGUAUUCUCCUUGUCUUGGUGGCUCCACCAAAACUUCCCUAAUAACGAGUUCAGCUCCUGGCAGAAGGUUUUCGUGAGAUCGAAGCAAGACAUGGCAAAGGUCGGGAUGGCCUGCCCCAUGGCCUUAACCAGAGUUUCUUUCCCACUCUUUGCCAAGAGUCUUUCCUGCCAGCCAUGGACUCGCCCACACAAGCACCUUUUGAUAUAUGCAAACGUGCGACGCCGGGAUCGACCAACAUGUACAUGCAGUCCCAAGUAGCGAUCAUUCCAAUCCUCACUCAUGAUUUGCACUUCCGCCUUCACCCGUUGUUUAGUGUGCUCAUCCGUGUUGGGGGAGAACAUGAUAGCAGACUUCUCCGUAUUGAUGCAUUGUCCAGAGCAGUUCUCGUAGAGCUGAAGAAUGUCAUGGAGAGCAGCGGCUUCCUCCUGCUUGGCCUUUAGCAAAAUCACUGAAUCAUCGGCAAACAAUAGGUGUGACACGCUAGGCGCAGUUUGGCAGAUUUUGACUCCACUGAUGCGUCCAUGUUCCUCAGCAUCAUGCAGCAAUGCAGACAAGCCCUCGGCACAAAUCACAAAGAGGUAAGGGGAGGGGGUCCCCCUGUCUCAAUCCCUGGGUGGGCACAAAUUGUUCCGUAAGAACUCCAUUCACCUUGAUCUGAUAACGCACAGUUGUGACACACUUCAUGAUGAGAUUUACCCAUCUCCUGCGAAAACCAAGUUUUGUGAGCAUUGCCUCCAGAAAACUCCACUCGACGCAGUCAUAUGCCUUGCUCAUGUCCGCUUUUAUUGCAGCAAUACCAUCUAGGCCCCCUCUUUUAUUCCUCAAGUAAUGUGUGACCUCAUAAGCAAUCAAGACAUUAUCUGUGAUGAGACGUCUCGGAAUGAACGCACUUUGGUUCUCGGAGAUAAUGUCUGGUAGUACAACUUUCAGUCGGUUUGCUAACACCUUGGAGACGAGUUUGUAUAGGACGUUGCAUAAACUUAUAGGACGCAAAUCCUUAAUCCUGCUCGGGUCCUUGACUUUAGGUAUACGUACCACGAGAGUAUCAUUCCAGCCUUCCGGAAUAUCACCUCCAUUGAGUACUCCCUGUUGGGUUUCGUAGUAAUUUCAAAAAAAUUCCUACGCACACGCAAGAUCAUGGUGAUGCAUAGCAACGAGAGGGGGAGAGUGUGAUCUACGUACCCUUGUAGAUCGACAACGGAAGCGUUAACUUGGUUGAUGUAGUCGUACGUCUCCACGGCUCGACCGAUCAAGCACCGAAACUACGGCACCUCCGAGUUCUAGCACACGUUCAGCUCGAUGACGAUCCCCGGACUCCGAUCCAGCAAAGUGUCGGGGAAGAGUUCCGUCAGCAUGACGGCGUGGUGACGAUCUUGAUGUACUACCGUCGCAGGGCUUCGCCUGAGCACUGCUACAAUAUUAUCGAGAACUAUGGUGGAAGGGGGCACCGCACACGGCUAAGAAUAUGAUCACGUGGAUCAACUUGUGUCUCUAGGGGUGCCCCGUGCCUCCGUAUAUAAAGGCUCAAAGGGGGGGGCUGGCCGGCCAAGAGGUGGCGCGCCAGGAGGAGUCCUACUCCUUCCGGGAGUAGGACUCCCCCCCUUUCCUAGUUGGAAUAGGAUUCGCGGAGGGGGGAAAAGAGGAGAGAGAGGAGGAAGGGGGGCCGGCCCCCUCUCCUUGUCCUAUUCGGACCAAGGAGGGGGGAGGGGCGCGCGGCCCAUCUCUGGCCACCUCUCCUCUCUUCCACUAAGGCCCACUAAGGCCCAUAUACUUCCCGGGGGGUUCCGGUAACCUCCCGGUACUCCGGUAAAAUCCCGAUUUCACCCGGAACACUUCCGAUAUCCAAACAUAGGCUUCCAAUAUAUCAAUCUUUAUGUCUCGACCAUUUCGAGACUCCUCGUCAUGUCCGUGAUCACAUCCGGGACUCCGAACAACCUUCGGUACAUCAAAAUGCAUAAACUCAUAAUAUAACUGUCAUCGUAACCUUAAGCGUGCGGACCCUACGGGUUCGAUAACAAUGUAGACAUGACCGACACGUCUCCGGUCAAUAACCAAUAGCGGAACCUGGAUGCUCAUAUUGGCUCCUACAUAUUCUAUGAAGAUCUUUUUAUCGGUCAGACCGCAUAACAACAUACGUUGUUCCCUUUGUCAUCGGUAUGUUACUUGCCCAAGAUUCGAUCGUCGGUAUCCCAUACCUAGUUCAAUCUCGUUACUGACAAGUCUCUUUACUCGUUCCGUAAUACAUCAUCCUGCAACUAACUUCAUUAGUUGCAAUUCUUGCAAGGCUUAAGUGAUGUGCAUUACCGACAGGGCCCAGAGAUACCUCUCCGACAAUCGGAGUGACAAAUCCUAAUCUCGAAAUACGCCAACCCAACAUGUACCUUUGGAGACACCUGUAGAGCUCCUUUAUAAUCACCCAGUUACGUUGUGACAUUUGGUAGCACACAAAGUGUUCCUCCGGCAAACGGGAGUUGCAUAAUCUCAUAGUCAUAGGAACAUGUAUAAGUCAUGAAGAAAGCAAUAGCAACAUACUAAACGAUCGGGUGCUAAGCAAAUGGAAUGGGUCAUGUCAAUCAGAUCAUUCAACUAAUGAUGUGAUCCCAUUAAUCAAAUGACAACUCUUUGUCCAUGGUUAGGAAACAUAACCAUCUUUGAUUAACGAGCUAGUCAAGUAGAGGCAUACUAGUGACACUCUGUUUGUCUAUGUAUUCACACAUGUAUUAUGUUUCCGGAUAAUACAAUUCUAGCAUGAAUAAUAAACUUUUAUCAUGAUAUAAGGAAAUAAAUAAUAACUUUAUUAUUGCAUCUAGGGCAUAUUUCCUUCAGUCUCCCACUUGCACUAGAGUCAAUAAUCUAGAUCACAUCACCAUGUGAUUAACAUCGAUAGUUCACAUCAUCAUGUGAUUAACACCCAUAGUUCACAUCGCCAUGUGACCAACACCCAAAGGGUUUACUAGAUUCAGUAAUCUAGUUCACAUCGCUAUGUGAUUAACACCCAAAGAGUACUAACGUGUGAUCAUGUUUUGCUUGUGAGAGAAAUUUAGUCAACGGGUCUGCCAUAUUCAGAUCCGUAUGUAUUUUGCAAAUAUCUAUGUCAACAAUGCUCUGCACGGAGCUACUCUAGCUAAUUGCUCCCACUUUCAAUAUGUAUCCAGAUUGAGACUUAAAGUUAUCUAGAUCAGUGUCAAAACUUGCAUCGAUGUAACUCUUUACGACGAACCUUUUGUCACCUCCAUAAUCGAGAAACAUAUCCUUAUUCCACUAAGGAUAAUUUUGACCGCUGUCCAGUGAUCUACUCCUAGAUCACUAUUGUACUCGCUUGCCAAAAUCAGUGUAGGGUAUACAAUAGAUCUGGUACACAGCAUGGCAUACUUUAUAGAACCUAUGGCUGAGGCAUAGGGAAUGACUUUCAUUCUCUUUCUAUCUUCUGCCAUGGUCGGGCUUUGAGUCUUACUCAAUUUCAUACCUUGUAACACAUGUAAGAACCCUUUCUAUGACUGUUUCAUUUUGAACUACUUCAAAAUCUUGUCAAGGUAUGUACUCAUUGAAAAAAACUUAUCAAGCGUCUUGAUCUAUCUCUAUAGAUCUUGAUGCUCAAUAUGUAAGCAGCUUCACCGAGGUCUUUCUUUGAAAAACUCCUUUCAAACACUCCUUUAUGCUUUGCAGAAUAAUUCUACAUUAUUUUCGAUCAACAAUAUGUCAUUCACAUAUACUUAUCAGAAAUGUUGUAAUGCUCCCACUCACUUUCUUGUAAAUACAGGCUUCACCGCAAGUCUGUAUAAAUCUAUAUGCUUUGAUCAUACUAUCAAAGCGUUUAUUCCAACUCCGAGAUGCUUGCACCAGUCCAUAGAUGGAUCGCUGGAGCUUGCUUAUUUUGUUAGCACCUUUAGGAUUGACAAAACCUUCUGGUUGCAUCAUAUACAACUCUUUCUUUAAGAAAUCCAUUAAGGAUUGCAGUUUUGUUAUCCAUUUGCCAAAUUUCAUAAAAUGCGGCAAUUGUUAACAUGAUUUGGACAGACUUUUAAGCAUCAAUACGAGUGAGAAAAUCUCAUCGUAGUCAACACCUUGAACUUUGUCGAAAACCUUUUGUGACAAUUCUAGCUUUGUAGAUAGUAACACUACUAUCAACGUCCGUCUUCCUCUUAAAGAUCCAUUUAUUUUCUAUGGCUUGCCGAUCAUCGGGUAAGUCAACCAAAGUCCAUACUUUGUGCUCAUACAUGGAUCCCAUCUCAGAUUUCAUGGCCUCAAGCCAUUUUGCGGAAUCUGGGCUCACCAUCGCUUCUUCAUAGUUCGCAAGUUUGUCAUGGUCUAGUAACAUGACUUCCAGAACAGGAUUACCGUACCACUCUGGUGCGGAUCUCACUCUGGUUUACCUACGAGAUUCGGUAGUAACUUGAUCUGAAGUUACAUGAUCAUCAUCAUUAGCUUACUCACUAAUUGGUGUAGUAGUCACAAGAACAGAUUUCUGUGAUGAACUACUUUCCAAUAAGGGAGAUGGUACAAUUACCUUAUCAAGUUUUCUACUUUCCUCCCACUCACUUCUUUCAAGAGAAACUCCUUCUCUGGAAAGGAUCCAUUCUUAGCAACAAAUGUCUUGCCUUCAGAUCUGUGAUAGAAGGUGUACCCAAUAGUCUCCUUUGGGUAUCCUAUGAAGACAUAUUUCUCCGAUUUGGGUUUGAGUUUAUCAGGAUGAAAUUUUUUCAUAUAAGCAUCACAAUCCCAAACUUUAAGAAACGACAACUUUGGUUUCUUGCCAAACCACAUUUCAGAUUGUGUCAUCUCAACGGACUUAGAUGGUGCCCUUUUAAACGUGAAUGCAGCUGUCUUUAAUGCAUAACCCCAAAAUGAUAGUGGUAGAUCGGUAAGAGACAUCAUAGGUCGCACCAUAUCUAAUAAAGUACGGUUAUGACGUUCGGACACACCAUUAUGCUGUGGUGUUCUAGGUGGCGUGAGUAGUGAAACUAUUUCACAUUGUUUUAACUAAAGACCAAACUCAUAACUCAAAUACUCUUCUCCACGAUCAGAUCGUAGAAACUUUAUUUUCUUGUUACGAUGAUUUUCCACUUCACUCUGAAAUUCUUUGAACUUUUCAAAUGUUUCAGACUUAUGUUUCAUCAAGUAGAUAUACUCAUAUCUGCUCAAAUCAUCUGUGAAGAUCAGAAAAUAAUGAUACCUGUCGCGAGUCUCAAUAUUCAUCGGACCACAUACAUCAGUAUGUAUGAUUUCCAACAAAUUUGUUGCUCGCUCCAUUGUUCCGAAGAACGGAGUCUUAGUCAUCUUGCCCAUGAGGCAUGGUUCGCAAGUAUCAACUGAUUCAUAAUCAAGUGAUUCCAAAAGCCCAUCAGCAUGGAGUUUCUUCAUGCGCUUUACACCAAUAUGACCUAAACAGCAGUGCUACAAAUAAGUUGCACUAUCAUUAUUAACUUUGUAUCUUUUGGUUUCAAUAUUAUGAUUAUGUGUAUUACUAUGAUCGAGAUCCAACGAACUAUUUUCAUUGGGUGUGUAACCAUAUAAGGUUUUAUUCAUGUAAACAGAACAACAAUUUAUUCUCUUACUUAAAUGAAUAACCGUAUUACAAUAAACAUGAUCAAAUCAUAUUCAUGCUCAACGCAAACACCAAAUAACACUUAUUUAGGUUCAACACUAAUCCCAAAAGUAUAGGGAGUGUGCGAUGAUGAUCAUAUCAAUCUUGGAACCACUUCCAACACACAUCGUUACUUCACCCUUAACUAGUUUCUGUUUAUUCUGCAACUCCCAUUUCGAGUUACUAAUCUUAGCAACUGAACUAGUAUCUAUUACUGAGGGGUUGCUAUAAACACUAGUAAAGUACACAUCAAUAACAUGUAUAUCAAAUAUACUUAUGUUCACUUUGCCAUCCUUCUUAUCCGCCAAUCACUUGGGUAGUUCUGCUUCCAGUGACCAAUCCCUUUGCAGUAGAAGCACUUAGUCUUAGGCUUAGGAUCAGACUUGGGCUUCUUUACUUGAGCAGUAACUUGCUUGCCGUUCUUCUUGAAGUUCCCCUUCCCCUUUGCCCUUUUCUUGAAACUAGUGGUCUUGUCAACCAUCAACACUUGAUGUUUUUCUUGAUUUCUACCUUCGUUGAUUUCAGCAUCACGAAGAGCUUGGGAGUUGUUUCCGUUAUCCCUUGCAUAUUAUAGUUCGUCACGAAGUUCUAGUAACUUGGUGAUGGUAACUAGAGAAUUCUGUCAAUCACUAUCUUAUCUGGAAGAUUAACUCCCACUUGAUUCAAGCGAUUGUAGUACCCAGACAAUCUGAGCACAUGCUCACUAGUUGAGCGAUUCUCCUCCAUCUUUUAGCUAUAGAACUUGUUGGAGACUUCAUAUCUCACAACUCGGGUAUUUUCUUGAAAUAUUAACUUCAAUUCCUGGAACAUCUCAUAUGGUCCAUGAUGUUCAAAACGUCUUUGAAGUCCCGAUUCUAAGCCAUUUAAGUAUGGUGCACUAAACUAUCAAGUAGUCAUCAUAUUGAGCUAGCCAAACGUUCAUAACGUCUGCAUCUGCUCCUGCAAUAGGUCUGUCACCUAGCGGUGCAUCAAGGACAUAAUUCUUCUGUGCAGCAAUGAGGAUAAACCUCAAAUCACGGAUCCAAUCCGCAUCAUUGCUACUAACAUCUUUCAACACAAUUUUCUCUAGGAACAUAUCAAAAUAAACACAGGGAAGCAACAACACGAGCUAUUGAUCUAUAACAUAAUUUGCAAAAUACAACCAAGACUAAGUUCAUGAUAAAUUUAAGUUCAAUUUAAUCAUAUUACUUAAGAACUCCCACUUAGAUAGACAUCCCUCUAAUCCUCUAAGUGAUUACGUGAUCCAAAUCAACUAAACCAUGUCCGAUCAUCACGUGAGAUGGAGUAGUUUCAUUGGUGAACAUCGCUAUGUUGAUCAUAUCUACUAUAUGAUUCACGCUCGACCUUUCGGUCUCCGUGUUCCGAGGCCAUAUAUGUAUAUGCUUGGCUCGUCAAGUAUAACCUGAGUAUUCCGCGUGUGCAACUGUUUUGCACCCAUUGUAUUUGAACGUAGGGCCUAUCACACCCGAUCAUCACGUGGUGUCUCAGCACGAAGAACUUUCGCAACGGUGCAUACUCAGGGAGAACACUUCUUGAUAAUUAGUGAGAGAUCAUCUUAUAAUGCUACCGUCAACCAAAGCAAGAUAAGAUGCAUAAAAGAUAAACAUCACAUGCAAUCAAUAUAAGUGAUAUGAUAUGGCCAUCAUCAUCUUGUGCUUGUGAUCUCUAUCUCCGAAGCACCGUUGUGAUCACCAUCGUCACCGGCGCGACACCUUGAUCUCCAUCGUAGCAUCGUUGUCGUCUUGCCAAUCUUAUGCUUCCACGACUAUCGCUACCGCUUAGUGAUAAAGUAAAGCAUUACAGCGCGAUUGCAUUGCAUACAAUAAAGCGACAACCGUAUGGCUCCUGCCAGUUGCCGAUAACUCGGUUACAAAACAUGAUCAUCUCAUACAAUAAAAUUUAGCAUCAUGUCUUGACCAUAUCACAUCACAACAUGCCCUGCAAAAACAAGUUAGACGUCCUCUACUUUGUUGUUGCAAGUUUUACGUGGCUGCUACGGGCUUAAGCAAGAACCAAUCUUACCUAUGCAUCAAAACCACAACGAUAGUUUGUCAAGUUGGUGCUGUUUUAACCUUCGCAAGGACCGGGCGUAGCCACACUCGGUUCAACUAAAGUUGGAGAAACUGUCACCCGCUAGCCACCUUUGUGCAAAGCACGUCGGGAGAACCGGUCUCGCGUAAGCGUACGCGUAAUGUCGGUCCGGGCCGCUUCGUCCAACAAUACCGCCGAACCAAAGUAUGACAUGCUGGUAAGCAGUAUGACUUAUAUCGCCCACAACUCACUUGUGUUCUACUCGUGCAUAUAACAUCAACACAUAAAACCUAGGCUCGGAUGCCACUGUUGGGUUUCGUAGUAAUUUCAAAAAAAUUCCUACGCACACGCAAGAUCAUGGUGAUGCAUAGCAACGAGAGGGGGAGAGUGUGAUCUACGUACCCUUGUAGAUCGAAAAUGGAAGCGUUAACUUGGUUGAUGUAGUCGUACGUCUCCACGGCUCGACCGAUCAAGCACCGAAACUACGACACCUCCGAGUUCUAGCACACGUUCAGCUCGAUGACGAUCCCCGGACUCCGAUCCAGCAAAGUGUCGGGGAAGAGUUCCGUCAGUACGACAGCGUGGUGACGAUCUUGAUGUACUACCGUCGCAGGGCUUCGCCUGAGCACUGCUACAAUAUUAUCGAGAACUAUGGUGGAAGGGGGCACCGCACACGGCUAAGAAUAUGAUCACGUGGAUCAACUUGUGUCUCUAGGGGUGCCCCGUGCCUCCGUAUAUAAAGGCUCAAGGGGGGGGGGCUGGCCGGCCAAGAGGUGGCGCUCCANNNNNNNNNNNNNNNNNNNNNNNNNNNNNNNNNNNNNNNNNNNNNNNNNNNNNNNNNNNNNNNNNNNNNNNNNNNNNNNNNNNNNNNNNNNCCCCCCUUUCCUAGUUGGAAUAGGAUUCGCGGAGGGGGGAAAAGAGGAGAGAGAGGAGGAAGGGGGGCCGGCCCCCUCUCCUUGUCCUAUUCGGACCAAGGGGGGGGAGGGGCGCGCGGCCCAUCUCUGGCCACCUCUCCUCUCUUCCACUAAGGCCCACUAAGGCCCAUAUACUUCCCGGGGGGUUCCGGUAACCUCCCGGUACUCCGGUAAAAUCCCGAUUUCACCCGGAACACUUCCGAUAUCCAAACAUAGGCUUCCAAUAUAUCAAUCUUUAUGUCUCGACCAUUUCGAGACUCCUCGUCAUGUCCGUGAUCACAUCCGGGACUCCGAACAACCUUCGGUACAUCAAAAUGCAUAAACUCAUAAUAUAACUGUCAUCGUAACCUUAAGCGUGCGGACCCUACGGGUUCGAUAACAAUGUAGAUAUGACCGAGACACGUCUCCGGUCAAUAACCAAUAGCGGAACCUAGAUGCUCAUAUUGGCUCCUACAUAUUCUACGAAGAUCUUUUUAUCGGUCAGACCGCAUAACAACAUACGUUGUUCCCUUUGUCAUCGGUAUGUUACUUGCCCGAGAUUCGAUCGUCGGUAUCCCAUACCUAGUUCAAUCUCGUUACCGGCAAGUCUCUUUACUCGUUCCGUAAUACAUCAUCCUGCAACUAACUUCAUUAGUUGCAAUGCUUGCAAGGCUUGAGUGAUGUGCAUUACUGAGAGGGCCCAGAGAUACCUCUCCGACAAUCGGAGUGACAAAUCCUAAUCUCGAAAUACGCCAACCCAACAUGUACCUUUGGAGACACCUGUAGAGCUCCUUUAUAAUCACCCAGUUACGUUGUGACAUUUGGUAGCACACAAAGUGUUCCUCCGGCAAACGGGAGUUGCAUAAUCUCAUAGUCAUAGGAACAUGUAUAAGUCAUGAAGAAAGCAAUAGCAACAUAUUAAACGAUCGGGUGCUAAGCUAAUGGAAUGGGUCAUGUCAAUCAGAUCAUUCAACUAAUGAUGUGAUCCCGUUAAUCAAAUGACAACUCUUUGUCCAUGGUUAGGAAACAUAACCAUCUUUGAUUAACGAGCUAGUCAAGUAGAGGCAUACUAGUGACACUCUGUUUGUCUAUGUAUUCACACAUGUAUUAUGUUUCCGGUUAAUACAAUUCUAGCAUGAAUAAUAAACUUUUAUCAUGAUAUAAGGAAAUAAAUAAUAACUUUAUUAUUGCCUCUAGGGCAUAUUUCCUUCACUCCCAACACUUCUUCAACAAUAUAGUCCCCCAUGAAGUGCCAUUUUCGCUUGAACACUAUAGCCGGCAUCCCAUCCGGACCCAGAGCUUUUAGGUCCCCAAUGUGAUCUAAUGCCGCUUUCACCUCUUCGCGGGUAAAUACGACGUCCAAAGCAUUGAGCAUUGCAGCAGUGACACGCGGCUGCACCUUGUCAAUAAGUUCAUUGACCCGGUUGCCCACAGUGGACGUGAAAAGAUCCUGAAAGUAAGAGCAAACAUAGUUAGUUAAAUCUUCCUCCGCCACCACCGAACCAUCCUCCCACCUGAGCUCCUUGAUCUUAUUAGCUUUCUUUCUCACAGACGCCAUCAUAUGAAAGAAGCAAGUAUUCCUAUCCCCUUCCAGAAGCCACCACACAUGAGCCCUUUGUUUCCACAUUGUACUCUUCUUCUCCUCUAGAUCAUCCACCAAACACCGUAGGUUGGCUUCCUCCUCAAUCUUCUCCUGGGACACCAAAUUCUUCAUGCACCGCUCCAAAUCAGCCUUGGCCUUUCUCAGUCUACCUUCCAAUUCGCCAACUACCUCCUUGUCCCACUUCCUCAUCUUCCCGGCUAUUUCCUUCAGGGCAUGCGCUACUCCACCUUCCCUGCUUUCCCAACUCCUCUCCCACGCCUCCCUGGUCACCUCCUCGCACCCAUCUUCCCGCAACCAUCUGGCCUCAAACCGAAAGCCUCGGUCCCCUCGGUCCCCUCCUCUCCAACUCCUAUCACUCCCCUUCGUAUUGACAAUUAUGGGCCUAUGGUCGGAAUGUCUCGGCAUCCCAUUGACGACCACAUGCUCCAGGAACUUCUCUCGCCAAGGUUUACUAGCAGUCGCCCGGUCCAGCCUUUCACAGAUGUAUGUACUCAGCUCCUUGCUAUGGUUCCUCCACGUAAAGAUGUCACCCUCGAAACCCAAAUCAUCAAGUUCACAAAACUCCAACGCCUCUCGGAACCCAUCCAUCAUGCCCUGAGAACGAUCUGCUCCACCCACCUUCUCUAUACCAGACAGGAUUUCGUUAAAAUCUCCAAGGCAUAGCCACGGUCGAUCCUGCUGAUGUUGCUGCUUGAGAAGUCAUAGGGUUCUCCAUGUUUCUUUUUUCCUUUUUGUAGCCGACUCCCCAUAAACACCUGUCAAUCGCCAUAUUGAGCCAUCCUCUUCCUUCACGUCUACGUCAACAUGUCUCCUCCCAUAUGAACGAAGUGAAAUAUCGAGUCCCCGCCGCCAGAACAUUGCAACUCCCCGGCUACGAGCCACCGGGUUCCAGGCGGAUAAGUUAGCGAGCCCUAACUUCCACCGGAAUCGAUCCAACUCCUUCUCUGUGAGUCUCGUUUCCGCCAAAAACAGCACAUCGGGAUCCUCCGCCCUCCCCAACUCGAGGAGAGAUCGAACUGCCGGGCCGUUCCCGAGCCCCCGGCAGUUCCAACUGAUGAUUUUCAUUGUGCCCGGCGGGGCUGCUCGGACAGCCCGGCCGAUAUCUUGUCAACAUUAAUAUUGUUGUUUGUUGUUCCCUCCUUGCAUUCGCUCACAACCACUCCCCCUUCCAUCAGCUUCCCUCUCUUCGCUUCCUCCUCCACCCCUACCUCGUCCUUCUCAUGACAUCUCUUCUGUCCCAGUACAAGCUCGCUGCUAUGCCCUUUGCCCCUGUUACUUUCAUUCUUCCUAGGAAGCCGGUGGAACGUCCCCCCUUUUUAUGGUUUUGUUUUCCGCCCGCCUCCAUCCUGCCCUCAGUGGCCACCCGUGGCUGUGUUACUGGACCCUUCUCUUUUGCCUCCACUUUCUCCUUAGGGAGUGACACCUGUGAUUUCUCCCUCAGAUUGGCAUGCUGCUCAAGCAAGGCCACCUCUUUCCCCUGGGGCGUGUUAUCACAUGUGACCAGAACCUGUGCAGCAGCCUCAUUCAUAUUCAACCUCCUCGAUUUUCCACCAUGUGCAGGGUUGUUGGUCAACAACUUUGCAGGACUCGUGACUUCCUCUUCCCCCUCAGCUUUGCCUCCUUUCCCAUCUCCCUCCCGAGCGCCCUCCUUCCUCCAAGAUAAGCUGUCGCUGUCGCUGCCACUCCCCGAUCUUCCUCCCGCACGGCUAUACCCAUACUGCCGAAAACCUCCUGCACUACCUCCCCUUCCCUUCCAACUGCGGUCUUCCUCAUGUGCAAACCUCCUCUUCCCCAUAUCUGCUCUAAGCCAAGGGCCAAAUUGAGGGUCCUCACCUUUCUUCAUCUUGAUAGAGCACUCCUUGGCCACGUGUCCGAUGAAGCCGCAUGUGUAACAAAAGUCAGGCAAGAACUCAUAUUCGAAGCGGCACCAGAGACCUUCUUCCUCCUCUCCCUCCUUCCCAUCAAUACUCAUAUCCUUCUUUCUCUUCUGUGGUUCCUUCUCAUCCUCAUCAUCUAGGGUAAACCCUCUCAUGAUUGGCUUCUCUAUGUUCAUCCUGAUUUUCACCCGUAAGAAUUUGCCAAUUGCUCUCCCAUCCGCACCCGCAUCCACUUCAACAAAUCGCCCAAUGAUGUUGCCUAUUUCCUCCGUUGUGGCUUCAUUCAUCAUACCGAGAGGGAGACUGAAGAUUCUCACCCAUAUAGGGAUGUCAUUGAAGUCAUAGUCCUCUAUUCUCUUGCUUGGAUCAUAGUCCUCCACCACAACAAGAUCCUUAUCAAACAUCCACGGCCCGUCCUCAAGUGCCUUCCGCUUACCAGACUCCUGUUUAAAUGUGAACACAAACCUGUUAUCCCCCGCCUCCUUGCAGUCAAUUCCUUUUAUCGGGCACCAGAUCCGCCCCAAGGAGAGGCAGAUCGCAUCUGGAUGAGCCGGCUUCUCGGACACCACUCUCCCCACCGCCUGAAACUCCGAUCCCUUCCCUUUUUCCUUUCCCCCCAGCCGGAUCUUGACCCCUUUCCUCUCUUCCUCUGACAGCUUGAGACUCCUCAACAUCCCUGCUACUCCCUCCAUCUACCUCCUGUCGGCCAAUGGCCGCCGCCGGGCACCUCCUAGGGUUUUGGUGUCUUACGACCGUGCGCCCUAGGGAGCACACAGAAGGUUUUGGUGGAGGGGUUACGACGAGGCUCGCUUGGAUGCGAUAGACGAACAAAAUCGAUCAAGGUCAGGGAGAUGGCGAUCGAUCACAAACGAGAGCUAUGGGUGAGGAAGUACGUCCGAAACCCUAAUCGCCUCCGCAAUCGACGGAGCGAUACGCGAACCGCCACCAGGUGGGAUGGACCAUCGCGAAGGCAAAGCUUUGAUUGCUAGCUGCUAGGCGGAAAUCAUUUUUUUGUGGGGUACACUUGUUUUUGCUUUCUUGGAUUGCAUUAAGGGUCACACGGGGUAGAUCUUGGCACGAAGUAGGUGAUCUUCUUGACUUCGCAAACUACUGGGUUUUUCAAGUGAUCCUAACCAUAUAGAAGGCACACAUCCUCUAAAGUAACCAGAACCUUUACAAGUCACUUGGUUUGAGCCCUCAUUAGAGAGAAGAACCAUAGAUCUCUCUCUCUCUCUCUCUCUCUCUCUCUCUCGCGCGCGCGCGCGUGCUCAAGGAAUCCACGCAAGGAUGGAGUGGAGCAAAGAGAGUGAGCACAGUGAAUUGAAUGGGUUCCCUGUCUGCCAAGGGUCUCAAAAGCCUCACCCUCUCAAGCGGUGGGGUUUGGUUAUAUAGGCAGGCCUCAAUCUGACCGUUGGACGAAAAAAGCAACGUCCCCAAAAGUUUCAUACAUGUUCAAACCUUGAAUGGUCCGGCAGGAAAAUGGCUCCCGAAAGAAUAGCAGUAACACCCUGAGGUACUAAGCGGUCCAGAGACCUCUAGAACCACGGUUAGCAUAAUGGUACCGAACAUGAACACUCAAGGUUUCAUACAACAACUGCAUGUCUCUUUCUAUGACAAAGAUACAUCACUCGGUAGUACAAGACUAGUUUCUCUUAGAAGUUCCAGAUCUAAAAGGGCACCACGUGAAAUGGACGGACUGGAAACAUCUAAGCCCAUGUUCUACACCAAUACCACUCGGAUGUUUUGGACCGAUACUGGAACUGCUCUGCAACAACCCUUUCAGAAUCAGAGAUAUUGGACACCAUCCAUCCGGAGGUAUCACCCUUAAUACAACACUGUCUGAACCAAACAAGAGUCCAGUAGUUAUAGGAACCAAACUCGAUAGUUCCAGAUAUACACUUAGGAUUUCUCACCAGCUCUGUUCUCACUAGGAUUAGAGGUAUGUGCCGAUUGGUUCUUAGGAUUUCUCACUAGCUCUAUUCUUACUAGGAUCAUAGGUAUGUGCCGAUUGGUAUGAUAGUUUCAGAGAUGUAUGCAAUAUGGAGAACCGGGAAUUUUUCAUUGGAAAGUUUGAGGGAUAUAUUGCAUGUUUGGCAAUGUGAUCAUCCUUAAUUUAAGUGCAAGUGCCCCUCUUUAUAGUACGAUUGUUCAAAAGACUCGAUGUGGAAAUUGUUCCACUACAAGCCUAUAAUAAUUUGUAACUACAACUUGUCUUCAUGUUUCUCGUUUUUAGGGGUCACCAUUGAUUCUUUUUAACUAACACAUGGACUAAAUCUGAAAUAUCUCAAUAAAAACAUUAGUCUUGUAUUUAUCUCAUCAUUAAUCAAUCAGAACCCAUUAGAAAUUCUAGGUGCACUUUCACAUAUCAGUAGGUUGACCUUACAUGUGACCGAACCUGAACUUUGUCGGUGUACGACAACCUUACAAGGCCCCCGCACACACUCCACACUUAUAUUUCAUCACAAUCCCUAACCAUCAACACCCUUUAAUAUCUAGGUGUCUCAAUUACGACAACAAAGUUGGGCCUAUGUGGUAAUCACUGAAAGAAUGUUACAUCAUAAAUGUUUUAUCAUUCUCCGACCACAUUGUGAACAUUCAAUGUAAUGUAGUCCCGUCACUUUGUUUUGCAUUAUAAUGAUUUUUAAAGAUGAUAAAGUCAAUAAACACUAGUAGUGUUGCCUUAACCUUGAUCGGUCUACUGCCCUAAAAUUGUUAUUUGGGUUUUUGUCUCUACAUCUUUAACAAAUAAUGUGGCUCAAAAACUAAGUUUACAUAGGCUUACAUCAAUAUAUAUCCUUAGCAGCUUCCUUAUGGGACAUCUUUCUACGGCACAGGAGAAGCAAGUGGCCCACUUGAACGAACCGGGAAACGAGUAAGCAUGAUAUAUGUUGUUAUGUUUUAUGUUGCUAAUUUCUUAGCUAAUAUUUGAUUGGCCUCUCAUUGUAUCUCUCUUUGAUCUCCAUUAGGUUUUCACCUGGAACACAGAUGCAUGGGGAUACGGGUCAGGAACCACUUCACUAUAUCAAUCACACCCUUGGGUGUUGUCCAUCCUCCCAGAUGGAAAGAGCCUCGGUGUCCUAGCUGAUACCACACGCCGUUGUGAGGUAGUAACUUUAUUUAACUUUUCCAACACACCUGUCUAGAAGAUCAAUUGUUUAAGUAAUUCUCGAUCACGAAACAUAUGAAAUUUGUUGUUUGUGAUAAUAUUUUUCUAUAUAAUAGUAGCUAACACGGUCCAAUUCCAUUGGCUAUUUCUUCAGUAUUGCACCUUAUAGUCAUAGCUAGGUACAUCCUACAUAUAUAGGAGAUGUAUGUUUUCAUUGAGCCGAUGGGCGUUUCUUUAACCAACAACCGUAUUCUAUUACAGAUUGACUUGAGACAAGAAUCUACUAUAAAGUUUGCUGCCCUAUCUGCUUAUCCUAUCAUUACUUUUGGGCCAUUUGAUACACCGGCCCAAGUGGUGGCAUCCUUGUCUCAUGCGAUUGGUAUUUUUUUCUCAUAACAUCUCUUCCAGUAUUGAUAUCUAGUGUUCACACUCUUGAAAUUCUAAAACGUAAAAUAUGUUUGUCAAAUUUUAAUCUUGUACAUACUAUAUACAGUGAAGUUGCAUAUACCUGCCUUGUAUGAGAACACGUUUCUCUCAUUUGGAAUAUCUAAUUCUAUUAUGAUUAAUUUGCAAUCUAGUUAAUGUUAUUGUACAUGUUUAACAAAAUAUUUGUCUCUCAAUUCAUCUAUGGUUCGAGAUUCAAGGCAUUUAAAGAGAGCUUUGUAUCUUGAGCAAUGAUGUUGUGCAAAAUUUUAGUGUCACAAUAGGGUGUUCAUGUCUGGAUAUUUGCUAUGUUAUCGUGCCUGGAGUUUUUUUAUUCUACGAACAAUCAUGACCUGUAUAAGAGUGACUAAGACAACAUCUUGCUUCUUCUUCGUGACUACAUCCAUGUCCAAUUGGCCAUGAGAAGAACACAAAAUUGCAACUUAGAUGCUAAUAUAUGUUAUGUAACCUGUUGUCCACUUAAUGCACACACCUUUUCUAUUAUAGGAACUGUGUCCAUGCCUUCAAAAUGGGCUCUCGGCUAUCAUCAAUGUCGCUUUAGCUACAAGUCUUCUGAGAGAGUCCUUGAGGUAUCUUGUAAAGGAAGUAUAUGCUGCAUCAAUUCGUUCACUUUACUUAUGAUGAAUAGAGCGGCAGUUUGUUAGAGCAAUUUUAGUUCAGUAUGUUAUUGUGUAAGCUAGUGUGUAAUUUGUUCAAGAAAUUCAAGUUUACUAUGUUACACGUAAUCUAAAAAAAGGCUAAUAUGAACUAAGAUCAUCACCAACAGUUGCCCUACCCCGUAUUUUUUUUUUUCUAAUUUAAGGGGAGUUGGGCCGAAAAACAUGCUCUAGCAGUUCUCAUAAAUCAUCAAUCUGAAUUUUUUUUAUGAAACACCCUAUAAUCAGCCCAACUCCCCAAGGGAGAAUGAGCUUCCUGUAUAAUUUUCCCUAAACGUGGCGGGAUUCGAAGAGUCACGGCGGGGUGGUUUUACCUCUUUUCCCCUCUCGCGGCGCUCCCGCGAGCGCCCCAAGGGGAACCCUAAAUCGCCGCCCCCUCCUCCCCAUCCUUUGCCCGCCUCCCUCGCCGCCGCCUAGCGGGGCCGCCGGGCGAAGCCCGGCCGGCUGGGGCGGCGGCGGGGCCUUCUUCUCCCCUCCGCCUGUGGUCCAUGGCCGGCGCAGGACGGCUUCGCGUGCGGGGGCGCUGGCCUAUGGCGGGGGCGAGCGGCGCGGCGGCGAUCCGUCGGGAUGGCGUCGGAGGUCCCUGGUGGCGGCUCGGCGACGUCUUGAUGGGUGCUUGCGGCGUGGCGGCUACGGCAGGGCCAGACCGGGCGGUGGCGGGCCGGCGCGCUCCUGGCCAGAUCCUUGCGGAUUUGGUCCCCGGUGGCGGCGGGCGUCGCGGGGUGGCGGCAGAGGUCCUCCUGGGACCUGCGUGCAGGUGGCUUGCAGCGGCGUGGCUGCAGCCCGUGGUCGACCGGUCUGCUCGCGGCACCGGCGGGUCUUGCUCCGGCGUGUGGUUGUCUGCGGCUUUCUCGGGUGAGCUUCCUUCCUCCCCUACGGACUCAGGGACGGGCGCAACAGGCAGGGGUGGUUCCAUGGUGAGGUGUUGGUGUGCCGGUGGGCUUGCCGGAGGUGGCUGUGGACUUCGGGUAGGGGGCAGGGGUUCCCCUCCAUUGCAUCUGGCGGCUGCUCCGUGGCCGCCGGAGUUCCUCUGGCCCAGAUCUGGCCGCCGAGGCCACCAACCCUGCCAAGGUUUCCGCUUUGGGGUGGAAAGUCUGCUCCUCUCCGGUCGGUCGUGUCGGUACUGUGUGUCCGUGGUCGAGGAUGGGGCUCGGAUGCUUGGGCGGCGGUCCUGCUGGUGGGAGCCGGGGUGCUUGUGGGCGUAGCACGCGGCUCGGGCGCUGUCCGGUCACCAUGGCCGUGUGGGCGGCAUGGUGGCCGGGGUGUGUCAAUGGUGGUGGCGCGGCUGUCCGUACCCCAAUUUGGUGAAGGUGAGUGUUGGCCAGGGUGAAAACCCGCUCUGUCUUGUCAGGCCGGCGAUGGCGGCGUUCCAGCGUCGUUCCCUUCUUGAAGGCGUCGUCGCGGUAUCUCGCUUGUAACUGAGGUGCUCCGGGGGAAACCCUAAUCCUUAGAUUGGGCGGUGGCGGCGAUCCGGCGUCGUUCCUUUCUUGAAGGCACCGCCUUGGAGCCCAUUGUUCAUCAUGCACGGCUUCUCCUCAUCGUGGUGCUUCUUCCACGGUUGAGGGCUCCGACAACUUCAUAGUAGUGCUUAGGGUGUUAUCCGUUGUUUGCUUGGAGUAGUUUGGGGUGAUGUUGCUGUUUUCAGCGUCCUUGUAUCCGCCUUGGGUGUGUGUGUUGUGUUGGUGUGGGGUGUGUGUUUGUAUCGACUUGCUCGGUGAUUGGUGCUUUAUUUAUAAAGCGGGGGGAAACCCUUUUUCUCAAACGUGGCAGGAGUCAACUGCUGAAAAAUCAGCUCCCGCGCACGCCCGUCUCCUCACGCCGUCGGCCAUCUACAUCGUGCCGCCGCCCGGGGCUGUCCCCCCACCGAGUGUCGCUGAUCAGCGCGUCCCUGCAAUGGCCCGACUCCUGCCUCUCAACGGCCGACGACCAACAGCCGCUACUUGUGCCACCCCAUGCCAGUCGGCUUCUUCUCAUCGUCGGCAGCCGCCCGUCCCCCUCCCCGCUUCAGCCAACCUCCUCCCGUGUGUGAUCAUUGUUGCUUCACCGGACCUUCCUCUCAUUGUCGGUCGACCAUUAUUUUCUUUUGUUCCCAAGGUGUUUAAUUAUUUUCUCAUCCAAUUUUUUUACGUAUCAAAGAAUUCCCCCUUUUUUUAAACACGGUACAGACGCAAGCGCUCAUACAUAUGCGCAUACCCUCACCCCUAUGAACGCACAUAUGCACACCCUACCUCUAUGAGCACCUUCGACUGAGCCGACAUACCAUUUUGAGAUUUACGACGUCACCGUAGGCGCCUCGUCAUCGACGGAAACGUCUCCUCCCACUGAAAGCGUAUCAUCGGAAAACCUGAAAUUAAUUCAGAAAUAAUGCGAGCACCAGGAUUUCAAUCCUGAUGAGCUGGGGAUACCACUGUCCCUCUAAUCAUCCAACCACAGGAAUUGUGUGAUUUUGCCUUAUAGAUGAAUUACUAUUUGAUAGAAUUGACAUGCAUAUGCCAUUUAUACAUUAAUUUGAAGAUAAAUGGGAAAACCAGAUUAUAUGGAAAUAUUUUUAUGAGACUGCAAAAGCAGCUCAUCGUGUCAACCACCCCUAAAUUAUAUGGACACCCCGUAAAAUCAUAUUUAAGAAGAGUUCUUUUAUGAAACUGACAACCAACAACUCACCCUAUCUAUAUCUAUACCUAAUAAUAAAGUCAUUAGCGCUUCUCGCGGUAUGUCACAUAAAUUGCUCCUAAAAUUACAAAAUAUUACCCACCGAUGGCACCUAUAAAUGACAAAAAAGGUUCCACACAAGGAAUCCCUCGCCUAGGCCGGCCCAAGGAGUAGGGAUCCCUAUACUGCGCUCUGCAUGCUAGGAGAAGACGCAGCGUACCCAUUUGGGCUGGCCAUGUGCGGGCAGCCUGUUUUUAAAUUUCUUUUUUUAUUUUUUAUUUUCCAUUUUCGUUUUUUCUCCUAUAAAUAAUUUGCUACUUCAAAAAAGUUUCAAAAAUUUUAAGAAAGAGAUUUUCAAGUAAAAUGUUCAAUAAAUCAUAAAAUAUUUGUGGAUUAAGAAAAUAUUUGUAUUUUUUCUUAAAAUGUUCACAUAUUACAAAAAUGUUUGCAAUUUUGUAAAACAAUGUUAGGAAAUAAAAAAAAGUUCAUGAUUUUUAUAAAAGUUCGUGUAUUAAAAAAUGUUAAUUAAAUUGAACAAAAUGUUCAUCAAAAUUUUAUCGGUGAUGCGAAAGAGUGUUGUCAUGGCCUUUGAAAUUAUGAUUUUUGUUUUUUUGAUUACAACGCACGGACCCUUUUGCUAGUGGACUCUAGAAAAAGUGUCUCGUUACAGCCGCUUGGGUAAGAUGAAUCGCACACAGCCGCUGUCUAGCAUUUGGUAAAUUUUAGUUCAAAAGAAGCAUCGAAAAGUGAGGUCUACUUUAUGUUUAUUUUAAAUCUAACGGACAAAUAAAUCACAAAUGGAGUUAAGCAUUUUUAACUUAGUCAUAUUCAAGUGACAAGUUUUUUUUAGCAUCAGUACAGACACAAGCGCUCAUAUACACGCGCAUACACUCACCCCUAUGAACGUACACACGCACACCCUACCCCUAUGAGCACCUCCGAGAGACUGAGCCGGCAUAUCAUCUUAAGAUUUACGAAGUCCCCGUAGGCGCCUCGUCGUCGACGGGAACGUCUCCUCCCACUGAAAGCGCAUCGCCGGAAAUCCUGAAAUAAAUCAACCCUGGUGGGUUGGAGAUACCACUGUCCACCUAACAACUCAACAA
rnacentral:lncRNA from 1 species